UUUUUUUUUUUUUAAUAUUAUGGGCAUUAUCAAAACUAUUCACGUGCCCAUAAACACUUAUUAGAAUGACCACCCCAUUUGGGCCCUUAAUAUUAUAUUCAUGACCAAAUUUAUUCGCGAUUCUUCAAGUCUAUUAAUAAAAAUUCAUGAAAAAGUUUAAUUGGAUCCGAAUUCAAAAGGAUUAAAAUAAAGAAGUACAUAUGUAUGUCUAAUCACCGUUUAAAAUAACCAUAACUUUGACUCUAAAAAAUUAAUUUACGACAGUUAAUUCUAAUUAAGAAAUUUUAUUAAUCGAGAGGAAGAUAUUAGGAACUGUCGAUGUAUGCUUUGAAAUAUUGUCAAUGAACUUUCCUAAAAUUCCUAGCCACCCUAAUAGUAUCAUAAAAUCUUAUCCAAUGCCUCUUAAAUAUUAAUGAGGAAAAUAUGAAAAUUAAUAUCUUCAUGCAUUAAGGUUCUUAGCAUUUUGAGUCUAAUCUCCUUUGUUUCAUAAAUAGUAGUAGUAUAAAGAUUAAUCAAAUUUAUUUGCAAUUUUCUUCAAUCUAUCAACUAUUUCAUUAUAACAGAGGGGAUCACAUUCUCUUUAAAUUCUCCUCGGAAAAGGAGAAAAGAAGACUCGUUUCUAUAGCAACCAAAUUUGUACGCGAAUUUUUGAAAAAAAUAUAUUUUAAGUACGACAUUUAUCCAAUUUUUAUUUCCACGUGAAAAGUGAUUAUUUUUCAAUUACAUUUCAAAUAAUGGCUAAACUUUGAAUACUGGUCAAAUGAAUAUAGUAUGAAACCAUUUAAGUUUGAGAACUUAGUCAUAUUUUGCUACCAUGGGCCUCACUCAAUGUUAAAAUUUGUGGAAUUAAUUGUAUGGACUAGCCACUUUCAGGCUUUGCAACGCAAUUUGAGAACUUAGUCAUAUUUUGCUACCAUGGGCCUCACUCAAUGUUAAAAUUUGUGGAAUUAAUAGUAUGGACUAGCCACUUUUCAGCUUUGCAAUGAAAAUAACAUUAAUGAUCAAAAAUAUAUUUAAAUUGUGAUUUUUUUGUAUUAAAACAUGUCUUGAUGUAGAGUUGGCUAAAUAUGUGUUUCCAAUCGAUAAUAGAUGCGUGUAGGCCAACUUAAUAUCGAUGCGUGUUUUAAUACAGAUUGAGUGAUAGUUGAGUGUAUGAAACUCAUGAAAAGAGGAUAGUUUAAGUAGACAAAUAGGACAAUGAAUAGUUGAAAUAUAAAACUAAUGAAAAUGUGAUAAUUGAAAUGUAUUCUUUUUUACCAUUAAGUCUAUUUUUUGUCCAAAACCAUUUUUUUUAUGAAGAAGUGAGCAUAUUAUAAGCGUGGUUGUUGUCGAUUUGUCUAUAGACAAUAAAUCCACGAAGGGGACACUUCCUUUUUUAUUUUUUAUUAAAAUUAAAUAUCAAUAGUUUAUAUUCUCUCCCGUCUCCGUCAUAAUUUUAUCGUCAUUUUAAUUCUUUUUCACGUUCAUUAAGAAAAUAUAAUAUAAGAUAUAAUUUUUGCUGCUAUGAAUGAACGACAUUUCCACUUAUAUUUAAAUUUGCCUUUUGAAUCUGUUUUAAGGGUUGAGAUCGUAAUCAUAAGUCUCGAUCAUUAUAUAGUAUAUGUGUCGCUCAAGAUCAUAGAAAAGAUUCUUUGUAAGCAAAUCAACCUAUCCUCUAUACUAUAUAAGUCAAGGGUUGCCAAUUAUUACCUCUGAAUAUAACCAACAUGAGGGCCCAGAGGCCAAUCUAGAAUUUCAAAAAGACGGGUAAAUCAUUGUCAGGGGCGGCUCUGUCCCUUCAAGAAAAAAGACAACUAAUUUAGGCUUUCAAAUUUGAGGGGCCUUAUUUAUUUUAGCAAUAAUAAAUAUAGGUUUUCCAUAAGAAAAAUAAGAAAAAUAUUAAAUACAUUUGCAAAAAAAAUAAAUUUUAUUAUAAGAAAAAGUCAUUAAAGAAGUUUGCAUCUGGGAAUCGAUCCCUCAACCUCAAGGUGAAAAACUGACACUCAAACCAGUGAACCAUCUAGUUGUUUGUGUUCAGGGGUUCUUUCAGUUGCUAUUUGAUAUAUUUUAAAAAUUAUACAAGUAAUACAUCGAGUUUUGUCGGAUGACCACAGGUUCAGGUGACCCAUUUUUUAAGAUUAAAAUCGCCCCUGUGAGGACCUAUCUCUGAAUGUGUUUCAAGGGUUGCCAAUUAUUAUUAUUGUAUUGCGGACCUACGUUGGGUCAAUAGGAUUCAUAUAAAUCUACUUUGUAAAAAAAUUACGUGGCAUAUAUAAGUAUAUUUGGUUUGUCUUCUAAAGAAUACACGUAUAAAUAAAACUUGUACUCUAUUCAAAAAAUUAUAGCUCUUGAUCUAGUGGUAAAGUAGGUUCAUUUUUGUGGAAGUGCUUGCGUUCGAAACCAGACAACAACACACUAAUUUAUUAGUUUUUUUUGUGAAUUUUCUUCUUUAUAUUUAAAUUUUACAAGAUUCAUAUUAUCCAUAUCUUUAUCUUCAAUGUAUCUUUGAAUCGCUUAAACAAUAAAAACCUGCUACAAAAUAAGUCAUAGACACGCGCUGAUCUGCCCCCUUUCCCAACCACUUUACAUUCUACAUGACAUCUUAAGGUGAUAAUAAUAAUUCGUCAUGAUAAUAUUGAUAAAUUUCAAGCUUAAUUUCAAUGAUUAUUGCAUGUCCAUUUGAAUACUUGUGAAUUGUGAUAACUUCAUGUUGGUUAUAUUCACAAACAUUUUAUCACUUCAAACUUGUCUUCAAUUGGCAACUUUAUGUAUAACUUGUCUUAAAUUUUGCGACUAUUUUGAUAUGAAGUAUAUCAUCAACUCCCUUACACAAUAAAAACCCCUACAAAGUGGGUAAUUAAUAGACACGCGUUUGGGAAUAAAACCUAUAUUGUUAUAUCAAACUCGACCCUCGCUGCUUCCCAAACACAAACUUUGGAAAAAAUGUUUUCACAUGACAUCUCAAUGUAAUAAUAAAUAAUUUGUUUUGAUAAUAUUGAUAAAUUUAUAUAUCAAGCUUAAUUUCAAUGAUUAUUUGAUAUUGAUUUGAAUACAUGUGAGUUUCAUGUAAGCUAUAUUUACAUAUUUUGUCACCUCCAACUUGUCCUUGAUGGUCAAUUAAAGUACGACAUGUCUUUAAAUUUUGCAAGGUUUGUAUUAUCUCUGUCUUCAUCCAAAAUUCAUCCUUGACUCCGUAAACAACAAAAAUUGCUAUAAAGUGGGAGAUAAAUAUGUGCUAGAAAAAAAAGUACAUUGUCAUGGUGGAUCCAAUUCACGCUCCUUCCCUAAACACGUAUUCACAAACAGUAUCUCCACUCAACAUCUCAGGAAUUGAUAAUAUUAAUAAAAUUAUAUUUCAAUGAUUAUUUCAAGUUGUCUUGAAUACUUGUGAACUUCGUGUUAGUUAUAUUCACACAUUUAGCACCUCCAACUUGUCCUUUGAUGGUCAACUUAAAGUGGGACAUAUCUUAAAUUUUGCGAAGGACCUAUUAGCCCCAUCUUUAUCCAAAAUGUAUCCUCGACGUGGGUGAUAAACAUGCUAGCAAGACAAAAAAGUACGUCAAUUACAUUUCAAAUCAUGGCUAAACUUUGAAUAAUGGUCUAAUUGAAUUGAACCAUUUAAGUUUGAAAACUUAGUCAAAUUUUGCUACUAUGGGCCUCACUCAAUGUUAAAAUUUGUAGAAUUAAUAAGGGAAAAUUAUAUAUAAUACCAAACUAUUAAUUCAAAUUAAAUGUUAUAAAUAUACUUUCAUUUAAUUGUACCUUAUAGCAAACUAUUGCUAUUUUAGCCACUUUUCCUGGUGGAAUCUCGCUCGCCACUCUCGUUUGGUGGCAGUCUCGCUCGCCUCUCUCGCUUUUAUACAAACACAAAUGUAUAAAAUGCGUUAGUGUUUGUAUAAAGCGAGAGAAAAUUGUAUAUAUACAUAUAUUUUCGUUCCCCUCUCUCAGAUUCGCUCGCUACUCUCCCAAAUUUCGCUCGCCACCCUCGCCUCUCUUGCUUAUACAAACAUAAACGAAAUGUAUAAAUUGCGCUUCUGUUUGUAUAAAGCAAGAGAAAAUUAUAUAUACACAUGCAAAUACAUAUAUUUUCGUCCUAUACACUUAUAAUUAUACAAUACAAAUAUUUCUCUGCCCAGUUUUCUUUUGCCUUUCUCUCUUUCUCAUUUUAUACAUACACAGAUUAUACAAUUGAUCUUUUGUAUACAACUGCUUUCUUUUGUAUAUGUAUAGCGAAUUAUACAACUACUUUCUUUGUAUAUGUAUAGCGAAUUAUACAACUGUUUUUUUUGUAUAUGUAUAGCGAAUUAUACAUAUAUAUGUUUGCUAUGGAGCGCAAUUAUGCAAACUUUGCUAUAACAUACAAAUAUGAAUUUUGUGUUUGCUAUAUGUGAAAGUUGUUCAAUUAAUAAUGUGGACUAGCCACUUUUCAGCUUCGUAAUGAAAAUAACAUUAAUGAUUAAAAAUAUAUUUAAAUUAUGAUUUUUUUUGUAUUAAAACAUGUCUUGAUGUUGAGUUGGCCAAAUAUAUGUUCCCAAUCGAUAAUAGAUGUGUGUAGGCCAACUCAACAUCGAUGUGAGGCUCCUAUUGCCUCUAUUUCGAUAUGAAGUAUAUCAUUAACUCCCUUACACAAUAAAAACCCCUACAAAGUAGGUGAUAGACACGCGUUUAGAAAGAACCUAUAUUAUUAUAUCAGAUCCGACCUCCGCUCCUUUCCGAACACACAUUUAGGAAAAAAUGUUUUCACAUGACAUCUCGAUGUAAUAAUAAAUAAUUUGUUUUGAUAAUAUUUAAAUUUAUAUAUCAAGUUUAAUUUCAAUUAUUAUUGGAUAUUGAUUUGAAUACAUGUGAGUUUCAUGUAAGCUAUAUUUACACAUGUUGUCACCUCCAACUUGUCCUUGAAUAUGUUCAACUUAAAGUACGUCAUGUCUUUAAAUUUUGCAAAGUUCCUAUUAUCUCUGUCUUUAUCCAAAAUUCAUUCUUGACUCCGUGAACAACGAAAACUGCUAUAAAGUGGGUGAUAAACAUGUGCUAGAAAAAAAAGUACAUUGUCAUGUUGGAUCCAACUCACGCUCCUUCCCUAAACAUGUAUUCACAAACAGUAUCUCGACGUCUCAGGGUGAUAAUAAAUAAUUUAUUUUUAUAAUAUUGAUAAAUUUAUAAAUCAAUCUAUUUCAAUGAUUAUUUCAAGUUGUUUUGAAUACUUGUGAACCUCGUGUUAGUUAUAUUCACACAUUUCGCACCUCCAACUUGUCCUUUGAUGGUCAACUUAAAGUACGUCAAUUACAUUUCAAAUAAUGGCUUAACUUUGAAUAAUGGUCUAGCCCACGCAAUUGAAUUGAACCAUUAAGUUUGAGAACUUAGUCAAAUUUUGCUACUAUGGGCCUCACUCAACGUUAAAAUUUGUGGAAUUAAUAAUGUGGACUAGCCACUUUUCAGCUUCAUAACGAAAAUAACAUUAAUGAUUAAAAAUUUAUUUAAAUUGUGAUUUUUUUUGUAGUAAAACAUGUCUUGAUGUUGAGUUGGUCAAAUAUAUAUUCCCAAUCGAUAAUAGAUGCGUGUAGGCCAACUCAACAUCGAUGUGUGUUUUAAUACAGAUGGAGUGAUAGUUGAGUGUAUGGAACUCACGAAAGAUGGUAGUUUAAGUUGACAAAUAGGACAAUGGAUGGUUGAGAUAUAAAACUAGUAAAAGUGAUAAUUGAAAUGUAUUCUUUUUUUUUUUACCAUUAACUCUAGUUUUUGUCCAAAACCAUUUUUUUGUUUGUUUUUGGAUGAAGAAGUGAGCAUAUUAUAAGCAUGGUUGUUGUCAAUUUGUCUAUAGACAAUAAAUCCUCGAAGGGACAAUUCCUUUUUUAAAAAAAUACAAAUAUCAAUAACUUAUAUUCUCUCUGUUUCAAUUCUAUCGUCAUUUUAAUAUAUCUUUUCACGUUCAUUAAGAAAAUAUGAAUUAUUAAGAUAUAAUUUUUUCUACUAUGAAUGAACGACAUUUUCAUAUAUUUUUAAAUUUGCCUUUUGAAUAUGUUUCAAAGGUUGAAGAUCGUAAGUCUCGAUCAUUAUAUAGUAUGUGUGUCGCUUAAUACAUGAUCAUCGAAAAUAUUCUCUGUAGGCAAAUCCUCUAUAUAGGACUUAGUCAAACAGUAAUUAGAAUAACGAUAAAUUUUAGACACACCUUUCGCCUGAAUGUUGUUACUGAAAAAAAAUAAUCAAUUUCUCGAACUUCAAAAACUCAUCUUCAAAUAAUCAAUCCAAUGACUUCACAUUCUACGUGACAUCUUCGGGUGAUAAUAAUAAUCCGUCUUAAUAAUAUUGAUAAAUUUCAAGCGUAGUUUCGAUGAUUCCAUUUGAAUACUUGUGAUAACUUCAUGUUGCUUAUAUUCAUAAACACCGCUAUAAAGUGGGCGAUAAACACAUGUUGGAAAAAUACAUACAUUGUCGAAUUGGAUCCAACUCACGUUCUUUUCCUAAACACGUAUUCACAAAAAGUAUCUUCACGUGACAUCUCAAGGUGAUAAUAAAUAAUUCGUUUGAUAAUAUUAAUAAAUUUAUAUAUCAAGUUAUUUCAGGUUGAUUUGAAUAUUCACACAUUUUGCAACCUCCAACUUGUCCUUAAUGGGGUCAACUUAAAAUACGACAUGUCUUAAAUUUUGCAAGGUUCAUAUUUCAAUGUCUUUAUCCAAAGUGUACGAUAAAUGCGUGCCGGGAAAAAAAUUGUACAACAUCACAUUAACAAAAAGUGUUCCACGUGACACCUCAAGAUGAUAAUAAAUACAUAAUUCGUUUUAAUAAUAUUGAUAAAUUUAUAUAUCAAGCUUAAUUUCAAUGAUAUAUAAUUGCAGGUCGAUAUGAUCACUUGUGAAUUUCAUGUUGGUUACAGUCACAUUUUAUAAAGUCACGUACACAGCUUUAAUUUUUCGAGGUGUGCCCAAGCGGACUCAAAUACUACGGUUAUUAAAAGGCCAAACAUAUAUACUGCCUAUGGAACAAGGCUAAGAUAAAGUGCCAAAAUGAAAAUUGUGGACAAGUUAGAGGGGUUGUAUAUGUGUUUGGCCAUAUAUAUAAUUUAACUACACAUCAACAAAAGUUUAAUUUAAUAAAUUUAAUUUAUCGAUCAAGUUAAUUUUAUAAAUUUAAAUUAUAUACCUUCUAAUUAUAUAUAUGGCCAAACACAUAUACAACCCUUCUAACUUGUCCACAUUUUUCAUUUUGACACUUUAUCUUAGCCUUGUUCCAUCUUAACCCUUAAACUCCAUUUUUUUAUGUACCAUUUUAACACGAAAUACUAUUUUUAUGAUUUCUUUAUUUUUAUAUAUAUUCUUCAAUUGCAACUUCUUAUUUUAAAUCGACACGUGUCAGUUAAUUUUAAUUAAAAAAUUAAAAAUUAACAAAAAAUAAUUCUUUUUAAAAAAUAAUAAUUUCUUUUUAAGAGUGUUACGUAUUUUUGUGUGAAGAAUAACCUACGAAAUUGUGUUGAUUUUCUUUCUUUAAAAUCACCGACAACCUAACAAAGUCAGUCGAGUUUUAACAUUGUUUAGUAGUGUUAUUAGCAAUGAACAAGAGUCUUUUUUUAGUAGUGUUAUUAACAAAGUCAGUUGAGUCUUUUUGAAGAUGGAUUUUUUUAUUCGUAUUGAUUAUAUUAAAAAUUAAAAGUGAGUAUUUGCGUUAAAUUUAGAUAACUUAGAUGAUAAGAAAAAAUAAAUAAGUAGUGUUAUUUAAUUUUAUUGAAUGUUUAAGAAACAAAAAUCAAAGAACUUUCGUCAAUUUAUUUUCAUGCAAAAAUACAGAGAAAUAUCAAAAAAUAAUAUUAUUGUUUGAAAUUUUUUUAUGUUCGUUCGCAAAUGUUUAAUUUUUUUACAAAAAUUAACAGGCACACGUCUAUUUUUUAAAAAAUAAGAAAUUGCAAUUGAAGAACAUAAAUAAAAAUAAAUCAUAAAAAUUAAUAUAAGUGUUUAAAUGGUACCGAAAAAAUGGAGUAGGGUUAAAAUGGAACAAGGCUAAGUUGGAGUGCCAAAAUGAAAAAUGAGGACAAGUUUGAGGGGUUGUGUAUGUGUUUGGCCUUAUUAAAAAGACAAAAUAAUAAGGCCAAACACAUAUGUAGACCCUUAAACUUGUCCUUAAAUUUCAUUUUGACACUCCAACUCAACCUUAUUCCAUUUUAACCCUUCAACUCCAAUUUUUAUGUUCCAUUUUGGCACUUCUUUCCAAAGAAUCAACAAAGUGGAUGUGUGUACUUCACAUGCCAUGAUAUGGCACAAAAACCAAUUAAAAACACAUACACAACUCCUCUAACUUGCCCCCAUUUUUUAUUUUGUCAUGCUAACUUAGUCUUGUUCUAUUUUAAUCCUUCAACUCUAUUUUAUAUAGUAUCAUUUAAACACAAAAUACUAAAUUUAUGAUUUCUUUAUUUUUAUUUAUGUUCUUCAUUUCCAGUUUUUCAUUUUAAAAAUCAACAUCAUAUUUUUAUUUAUUUUUAAAAUAAUGGAUGAACAUCAUUUUUUGUUUUAAUUUUUUUUUUAGAGUUUCUGUACAUUAUUGUGUGAAAAAAUAAUCGACGAAAGUGUGUUGGUUUUUUUUAAAAAAACAAUUAAUUAAAUUAAAUAACACCACAUAUUUAUUUUUUCAUAUCUAGUCUAUUUGAACUAACUCAAACAGCAGCUUUCUAUUUUUUCAUUCAACUAAAUACGAGUACAAAAAAACUCAUGUUCAUUGCUAAUUAAUAACACUACAAAAAAUGUUGAAACUCGAUAGACUUCGUUGGGUUGUCAUUGAUUUUCUUAAGAUAGAAAAUUGAUGCACUUUCGUCGGUUAUUUUUCACGCAAAAUAUAGGGAAACUUUUGAAAAGAAAUUAUUACUUUUUUUUAUAAAAAAAAAAUCAAUGAUCAUCCGUCAAUUUUAAUUUUUUACAAUAACUAACGGAUGAACACCGAUUUCUAAAAUGCAAAAUUGCAGUUGAAUAACAUACAUAAAAAUAAAGAAAUCAUAAAAUUAGUAUUUUGUGUCAAAUGGUACAUAAAAGAAAUAGAGUUGAAGGAUUAUUAUUUUUUGUCUUUCACUCUCUUAGAGAAAAAGUGUGAUGCACGCUCUGCCACAUCACUUAGAAAUGUCAAAAUGGAACAUAAAAAUUGGAGUUGAAGGGUUAAAAUGGAACAAGAUUGAGUUGGAGUGCCAAAAUGAAAUUUAGGGACAAGUUUAAGAGUCUGCAUAUGUGUUUGGCCAAAUAAUAAUGACACCACAUGGUGUAUGUAUGUAUGUGUAUAUCUCUCUCACUUUGUACAUUCGUAUAGUUGAAGGAACCCACAUUUCACCAACUUUAUUCCUAACUCAUAUUUGUUAGAACAGAAAAGGGUCAAAACUACCCUUAAAUUAUUCGAAAUAGCUUAAAUAUACCCUUAAAUUAUAUUUUGGCUCAAAAAUACUCUUCCCAUCAAACUAUUGGGUCACACCUACCCUUCUAGUUAACGGAAGUAUCCAUGUGUGUGUUAAAUGCCACAUGGACGCUACAUGGAUGCCACAUGUGCACGCCAAACAGACCCCACCUCCACAUAGACGACUACGGAAAAUGGUCAAAACUACCCUUAAACUAUUCAAAAUAGCUUAAAUAUACCCUUAAACUAUAUUUAGGCUCAAAAAUACCCUUCCCGUCUAACUAUUGGACCACACUUGCCCUUCUGUUCAACAAAAAACAUUCAUGUGUGUGCUAAAAUGGCACAUAGACUCCACAUGUGCACGCCAAACACACCCCACCUCCACAUAGACGACUUAAAGCCCUAAUUUCACUAUUUUCCCCCUCAUUUCAUCCUGAAAACUAUACAUUGAACCAAAAAAAGAAAAAAUAUUUGCAGAAACUUGUAUACGUAACCGAAUGAAGUAGAGAAAUUGCAAUUUGAUGACCAUUUCAAAUACAAUAAAAGAAAUGAUCUAAGGUAUAAUAUAAACACGCUCAUUUUAAUUAAUCAAUUAACACUAAUUUAUUAUUUUAAUUUCUCUUAAUAAAUUAAUUUUGUUUAAACAAAUCUUAGCGAAGCUUUCUUGUUGAUUCAACUCACCGCCAUGACGCAAAAUAGCAGUGGCCGUAAGAGACCUAAUAUACUUAUAAUCACUGGAACUCCAGGCACAUGAAGACGACUACGACGGCUUCCCUGGCGGUGGUGACCGAGCUCCGUCACAUCAACGUCGACGAUUUCGCUAAUGAGGAAAACUUGACGAACAGAUAGGAUGAAACCUUCGAUUGCUACUACAUCAACGAAAACCUAGUAAGUUUUUAUAGAUUUCUUAAUUAAAAUUUAUUUUUUUACCAGUUACACAUUUUUGUUCAAGUUUUGAGCUUUUAUGGUCCCUAAUCCAGAAGAUGCUCUAAAUGAUUAUUAAGGAAGUUUUAGAAUUUAUGGAAAGUUAAAGAAACAUUCAAUAUAAUAGAUGAUUUAAGGAUUAGAUAGCAGAAUUAAUUUGAAUUUGUUUAAGUUGUGAUCUUUAAAGUACAACAUAUUAGUAUCAGAAUAAAAUGAAACUGAAUUGAGUCAAUGUAUGUUGUAUAUUCAUAUAGAUAUAGCCAAAUAAGGAAAGGAUGAAAUGAGGGGGGGAAAGAGUGAAAUUAGGGCUUUAAGUUGUCUAUGUGGAGGUGGGGUGUGUUUGUCGUGCACAUGUGGAGUCCAUGUGCCAUUUUAGCACACACAUGGAUGUUUUUAUUAAACAGAAGGGCAAGUGUGGUCCAAUGGUUAGAUUGGAAGGACAUUUUUGGGCCAAAAUAUAGUUUAAGGUUAUAUUUAAGCUAUUUCGAAUAGUUGAAGGGUAGUUUUGACCCUUUUCCGUAGUCGUCUAUGUGGGAUCUGUUUGGCGUGCACAUGUGACAUUUAACACACAUGGAUACUUCAAUUAACAAGAAGGGUAAGUGUGACCCAAUAGUUUGACGGGAAGGAUAUUUUUGAGCUGAAAUAUAAUUUAAGGGGUAUAUUUAAGCUAUUUCGGAUAGUUUAAGGGUAGUUUUGACCCUUUGCCAUUGUAAGAAUUAUGAGAUUGGUACAAUGUUAUCAAAGGUGAAAAAGCAAAAAAACUCUAAGAUUUGUUGGAGCUUUAAGCACAAAUAAAGCGUGAGAUUUAAUAAACAAAGGCGCAAAUGAAGAUGAAAAUGCAACUAUGUAUGUGUAGUCCAAGACUAGCAAAUAUAUAGACUGCAAUAAAAGGGGAAAAAAGCAUAAAGCGAAAUAAUUGUUCAGUUGCUUCUUCAGGAUUACAUUCAUUGGAAAGGAAAAGUAUGUUAUAGAAAAUUGACGAUGACAUUGAAGCAAGCACCCGCUAAGUGAGGCGAUGCGCUAGCGUGCGUUUGACGGCACAGAGUGCCCAUUUAAAGAGAUGACAAGACAUAUUUCACCAACUGUGAGAUUGACAUUAAGCAAAUGUGUACCAUCAAAUGGCAAUCCUGUUGUUCUGCUCAAAAUAAAGUACUUAUUGCAAGUUCUGAGAACUGCUGUUCAACAUUAGAAUAUGAAUAUGCUCAAAGAUCUCAAUCAAUGUCUUCAUUAGGGGGAAAGAGUACAUACACCUUUUACUUCACACGGCGUAAAAACUAUAUUCAGAACAAUGACAAGAAAAUUCGAUAAAAUGAAAAGGUUAUCUAGGGUCACACAAGAAUCAAACUCCACUACAACAAAAAGUCUAUCAUGUUACAUACCUUGGGUACCGCCUUCUAGGUGAGGUGCAUCCACUCAGACAUUCAGCCUGGAAGCUGCAUGUGGAAGAUCGUUUUUACAGUCCACAGCAUCAGUUGUUGUGUCAGCAGUACUUUAAGGUGCCUAUCACAUUUAAUAUAUGAAAACAUAGAUAUCAAGAAACCUUCUCCUUUGGUGACGGAAAUGGUUCCGAUUCAACUGAUGCAGGUGGAUCCAAAUUCAUUUGAUCUGUUGGAGGUGGUACAGAUUUAGCUUCAUCAGCUCCUUCUUGAGCGGAGUCCAUAGGAUCUUUCAAUGGUGUAGAAGGCUCAACAUGAUCAGUUGAUUGUACUGCAGGAGGAGCAGGAUCGUCUCGGUCAUUAACAGUUGUGGAAGGUGUCGGAUCAGUUAUUAGUGUCUUGGGAGCUGUUCUUUGAGUCAUAGGGAGAUCAGUAUCCAUUUUAUCUGUAGUGGUUGCACCAUUGGUCUGUUCAAGAUUCAUUCCAGUUGAUGUGGUGGUUGCGAUGUUGCUCUGUUCAAGAUUUGUGUCAGGUAUCUCAUAUUCUGAUAGGAGAUCCAUGAACUCGUUGAGCAGCCGCUGUACUUUUCUAUUUGAGGCCAUUGCUGGAAGUAUGUCUUCUCUAAGGAGUCUCUGUUUUUUCAUACCCUGAAAUAGUCGGGAUAACAAAAACUUGAUAAGAAAGAUAAUUUUUUUAACUGAGCGUGGAGACUAAUCUCUAAAUACUUGGCUUUCAUUUUGAAUACGGAUAGAUUUAAUUAGAAUCUCACUUUGAGAAAAUGAAAUCCAUCAAGUAUGAGCAAAAACAUGAAUAGAUGAAAGAAUGUGUGCAGCGGAUAAAAACAUCACCAAGGUAUAUUAUAUCAACAAGAUGCUGCAUGAACAUGGCGCCAAGAAAACAAAAUGUCAACUUAAAACAAUAAAAUUGUCGUUGGUCUUUAUGUGACCGACUUCCUACAUUGAGCUGCAAUAAGAUUGACAUAGUUUCAAGGAAGUCUCUCGCUAGUUUAUGCAACCUAUUUUCAAGCUUGAGCGGUUCAAAAAAAUAUUGACAUAGUUCGUCAGAUGUGAAGUUGGACAUUGCAGAAGCAAUAAUAGCGCAUGCACAACUCCAAUGUGAUGUUAUUUUUUCUAAUACAUGGUCCAAAUAUAUUUGAAGAUAUCUCGCUACCCAGUACCUGUGGGCAGGUGGCAAGUACCAGUGGAAUAGUCGAGGUGCGCGCAAUGGCCCAGACACCACCAUCAUAAAACAAAUUUGACUAAAUCUCAUAUUAUUCAAAGAAAACAUGCUAAUAUAAUUAUCACCAUUUUUCUCUCUGUAGUGAUGGACUUAGUGGUCAGAGAGAAUGGAGAAAAAUGAAGGUCAUACUCAUCUACAAAGACAAUAACAGAUAUUUGCAGAUAUUGUUGGAGUUGAGCCACAGUUGGGCUCAUCCCCAAAAGAAAUAUACACUAAAAAAGAAGUGUGAGAAUCCCUUACAAAUACACAAGGGUCCCAAGCAGGUAUAUUUGACGUAGAGGAUGCAGCAUCAGCCAUCCCUGUGGGAGGCCCAAGAAAGUUCUCGCAAACUUCUCUCAAGCGUGAUUCAUCUGCCUCUCUGCAUUUAAAGAGCAAUCAUAUGUUAAAAUACUCAAGAAUUCAAACAAGGUGGAAAUUCAUCUUUGACACGACACUUCAGAAAGAAAAAAAACCAACAGUAAAAUUGAAUUAGACAAAUAAUAAAUGAAUAUAGAUAGGAUUUUAUACAUGUCAUAACAAAGUAAACCCUGAAACUUCAUAAAUACAAACAUAGCACCAUUCACAAUCAAGAAAUUCAGUUCUUAGAACUACUUUUUUUUUUUUAUUAUUAUCACCAUGGUGUCAGGGCAGCUUUCGCAUACCUCGACUAAUUUCACGAAAAACCCGUCACCUCCCACCAGCAACAGAGACCAGGUAACUCUAUCCACCAAGGCUAGGACAGAUGGGAAAACAUCACCUAGUGUUUUUGUCUAUGCUGUAAUUUGAACCCAAGACCUCAUGGUUCUCAACCCACUUCAACUAGAACUAUUGGUUUCUCCAAACCAACCCUUGUCAAAUGUGCAGGCAAAACAAUUUCCACAAACUUAAAGUUUCUUACAUAACCCAAAGGUCCAUCUAGCACUAAAAAUUCAUUUGCAACUCUCAAUUUAAUCAAUCAUUUUACUUUGAAGAUGAAGUUUCCAACAUUAACCAGUGCAUUAAAAUGGAUACUUCCUCUGUUUCUAUUUAUGUGAGAUAGUUUUGACUCGGCGCGAAGUUUUAAGUAAAAAAGAAAAGACUUUUGAAACGUGUGGUCUCAAUCAUUCCAUAACAUUUGUAUGGCUAUAAAAGUUUCUCUUUAAGGAUAUGGGAAGUUAAUAGUUAGAUGUUUCCAAAUAUAGAAAUGUGUCAUUCUUUUUGGAACAGACAAAAGGAAAUAGUGUCACAUAAACUGAAACGAAGGGAGUAUUAAAUGAAGAUUCCAUAUCACCAAAGGACUACAUAACAGACCUUGCUAAAAACCGAACAUAGGAUAAAAGGCAUUGACGAUAUUCACUAGGAGACUUCAAAGCAAGAGCAGACGCCAAUUGAGACUCCAAAUGAGCACGUGUUUGUACCCCAUCAUCAGUGACUCUGCAGAUGCACAAACUUUAGUAAGACCGAUGAGCCACCAAAACAAAAUUAGGCAAGAAAUUUACACACAAAUACCAACUGUACAGUUAUUCAAACAGCAAAAGUCACUCUGUAACUGAUAACAUUUCAAUAUGCUAAUAUAAGAUACAGACUAAACAUGCAACAUCUCUUAGGGAAAUUCUAGCAAGGAAUCUAAGAGGAACUAAUAAGAUAUUAAGAACAAAGAAGUAGAAAAUGGUGGGCUUGUGACCAAAAAAAAAUGCAGCUGAUGCGUUCAGACAAACCAAAAUGAAAGAAAAUGGACAUUGACCUGCUCCAGCCAGGUCUUCUAGCCAGGAACUUCUUAACAUCCACCUGCAGUGCCGCUAGUUCACCACCAUGCAAUGAGCCCGAACUCCAGGAGCUUGAAAAAUUCGAAGCCGGAAAACAAUCAUCUGCAACCCUCAGCCAGCACAUGAGGCUCAUAUCAAAGAGGUAUGCAUGCCGUGUGGCCAGGACAACAAGAGGAAAACCAGAUUUUGAUAAUUUUGCUGUUAUCACUUUGAUUGUGCCUGUUAACAAGUCAAGAAAAAGUUAUAAGAUACGAAAUGCAGCUAAGACAAUGCAAUAUGUUGGUUCAAUUUUGAAUUUAAUGAUCAACAAAGAAUCAACGACUGCAUCUCUUGUGCAGCGAAAUACUAGAAAAUGUUACUUCCAGCAGUACCCUUAAUACUGUCAGCUUGUAAGCAAAGUAAUAUCCCCUUGAGGACAAUGCAUAAAAGAGGAAAAACACAGUUCUCAGUGGCAAUGCUUAAAAAGGAAGAGAACAAUUCUCAGCCAGAAGACACAUGAAUUAAAUCUUGGGACUUUUAUAACUCACCUGCAUUUGCCUUGGGAUCUGAGUUCAUAAGGGACGCCAAUGAGUCUUGAAGGAGACACUUCCGGUUGAAUAGAUCCCAAAGAUGCAAUGACCCUUUCCUUGUGACGAGCAAAAACUUCCAAGAUUCAUCACAAUCAACAAAUACUGCAGCAGAUCCCAUCAUCAUGGUCGGCAUGGCACGUCGUCCACAUUUUGUAUAAAUCUUCUUACAAGCAAAGAUGAGAAUAAGAAUAUAUCGUACAAUUCGAGGAAUAUUUGGAGUAAGCAAGCAAAUAGAAGAAUCUUUAGCACACAAAGAAAUAACUGGGAUCUAUGUUUUAAUGCGACUUCUUUUGUCCUCAAAUCAACCUUGAGCCUUCAAAAGUUAAUGACAAGCUUUGAUAGCUACACAAAUGUUAGGCAUGUUUAAGACCACAAGUUUCAAAAGUCUUCAUUUCUUUCUUAAGACUCUGUGCUUAGUCAAAUGGAGUUGCAUAAAAUGAAAUGAGGCAGUAUAUAUUAGGAAAAACCGAACCUAACUCAUGCAAAAUGUGAUAAUAGAUGUAAAAAGGACAAAGCUCAAAGUGAUGAUUUGCAACAGACAAACAAGAAAGAAGGGAAGACUACAGAAGUAAUAAAUGUUUCACUCUCUUCAAAAGCAGUAAAACUGCAGGUAAAGGGUUUGGAUGACAGCAUUUUAGGUCAAAAAAUGUGAAUCACAGUACUCAGGCAUGUACAGAUCAAUUAACAUGCACAACACCCAGGGAUAGGGGAGAAAAAGAAAAGCACAAAGGCAAGAAACCAGAGUGUUCAUUAGGCAAAGAGAAUUGACAGAAAUGGGGAAAAUAAAUUUUGAAAGGUCAGAAAGGAAAGGGCUCGAUAAGAGGAGCCAUCAUCAAGUCCAAAGUGUUAUGAAGGUCAAUUUAAUCUCCCCAAGUUUACCUCUCGUCUUGGCGAAGAGGGGAGGAUUCUCAUGUUUGGUAGUCUUGGAAAGAAAAGGGAAAAAUUAAAUCUAUACAUGCUCAUUUUGCAUGUCCAGUCAUUUAUUGUGUAGUCCCUACAAAGUCAACAUAAAAAAGCAGAAGAUAACCACAAAACGAGUAGAAAUAAAAGAAACAGAUUCAUUCCACCAAUCAACAUCUAAGAUACUUGUCUAAAGGAUAGAAUCAAUCGUGCCGAAAACAAUAUAAUGUGUUUGUUCAAGCUUUUUGAAACUCACCUGAAUGCAGCCAUCUUCACAUCCCACAGCCCAAAAGUUGGCAUUUCCAGCCAAAACAGUAACUUUUCCAGUAAUCCGGUCAGACCAGAGAGUUUGAGCGCCUCUGGAACAAAGGAUCUCAGUUUCUUUCAUUACAAAUGAAUUUCCUGUCCCCAAAACAUCAUUGGCAGCUUGUUCUCUGGGUUGAGCCUCUAAGCAAAUUGGACCAGUGUCCACCCCUUCUUUAUUAUCAAAAACCCUGAUUAAAAGUGUACCACCAGUACCCAAAUGAGAUGGAUCUUUGACAAUUCCCAUCUGUUCAAUGCUGAUACUUCCAUCCUUGCCUGCAGAAGGUGGAACCUUCUCAAUGAUGAGGCUAUCACUGAUGGUACCUCUAGCAGUUACACCUGAGCGCUCCCUUUGAUCAGCACUGACACUAACUGUUUUCCUUGCAAAUACUUCUCUAACACUUGCAUCAGACAGUACCAUACCAUUCUCAUCUUUACUCUGCUCCACUGUCAUAUUAGGAAAUUCAACGACAGGAGAUUGAGCAAUUCCAGAGGUGUUCUCCUGCGGGGUAGGAAAACCAACUGAUUCUGGAAUUAUCCUCUUUCGACCAUCAGGCCUUCUGUACUCUCUUUGCUUCACGGGACUUGACAAGCGUGUAGAAGCUGCGGGUUUAGCUAAACUAUCACUGUUAACUCCUUCAGUCUUUUUCCCAUUAUCAGAUUUUGGUUUGGGAACAAUCACCACACUACCCAAAUCAACAGAAGAUUUUGACGUUGCUUGAACUUGUGGAAGAUCCGUAGUUAGUUUUUUGCUUGAAGUUUGCUUUGCAGCUGCAGCUUCAAGCAAUAGUUGUGCUGGACUUUCGGCUAAAUUUGCUUGUCGACCUCUAACAUCACCAUAGCGGCUUCUCUUCAACUCCUCUAAUUCAGCAUCAGAAAGCUGAUGACCUAGUUCUUUCUCAUCAAAAUGGAAAGUGGCUACACUUCCAUCCAAAGAACAUGCAAACAGUGAAUAUCCAUCAGGGCUCCUGCACAGAGAAAAUUAUAUCCUGAAAGAAAGCCAAAAAGAACAAAGACAAUUCAAGAUGGAAAAUGUCUUUACUGUUGUGAAAAGACCAACAUUUAUGAUGCUAUGAGCUAACUUACCAUGAUAAAUCCACAACACUUUGAGCAAAGAAAUGCUUGGCAACAAAAAGAGGACGUGGACUCGCUGUAGUCCACACAGUUAUGGUGCGAUCUUGACUUCCUAUAGCAAUAACAUUGUAGGGUUGGGACUCUUUUCCUCCACUUUUUGAAGAACCAUUUGACCAUCCAAGAGAAGCAUUUUUCACUUCCUGAGCAUUAGCCGAAUUCCUCCGAAACAUAGAAUGAUUGAACUUAACGACAAUAAUAGGAGCAUUGUGUCCUAAGAAGUCAAAGGUGGCAGACCAUUCCCCUCUCUCCAGAACAGGAGCAGAGUGCCUAGGCUUUUGAAAACCAUGAGUAGUAGUUAUAUAGUGUCCACAGGGUGACCAUCCAAGCCGCCUAAAGAAGGUCGACCCAAGCUGAAAAAAAUACACAAUUGUUAGGAUAUAGGUUUCAGUAAGAAAAAUAAAAUAAAAUUUAAGAGUAUAGGAAACUCACAGAUUUUGCCCAGUGACCUUCCGUUCUAUGAGCAAGACUCCAGUCACUUGUUCGCCAAAUGAUGACAGUCUUAUCAUCUGAUUGACUAGCUAUAAAUGAACCAAUUGGAUCCCAGGUGACACCUUUAACAAGACUAGAGUGACCCCUCAGAACAGCAGAGCAUAUACCAUUGCUCAUAUUCCAGAUAUGGAUGGUGUUGUCCAUACUACCACUAGCCAAUGUCGAGUCGUCUGGAGACCAAUUUAGAUCCACCUACUUUAAACAUGGAAAGAGCAACCUAUUGGUUAGAAAGUACAUGGUUAGACCAUAUAGGCAUCUAUUCAGAAGCAUAUAUGAAUUCAAAUGAUUUCAAGGUCCACUGAAUGACAAAGUUCUCAGAUUUUACUCACAAUCAGAGCCAAAGGAUAGGAGAUUAAGAAAGAGGUUUGUCAAAAACUAAUAUGAUUUUAGCACCCAAGGGUGUGACCAAGUGGUCAAUGAAGUAGGUUCAGCACCAUGAGGUUCAAAUCCAAACACUAGGUGUUUAGGAGGUGGCGGGAAUUGUGUGGAAAUAGUCAAGAUGCACACAUGCACGGCCAGACACCACGGUUAUCAAAAAAGAAAUCAUUUGCAUGGCAAGCAAAUUAGUUAUUUAGAAGCUAAAAGAUCAGUCUCAUUACCACAUCCGCAGUGUGUCCUCUCAAUGUCAUGGUAACUUUCCAGUUCUCUACAUCAGGAGGCUCUCCACUGCCAAACUCUGUGGUUCCCGAGCCAGGUUUCCUCUCAUGGACUUGAAUCACCUGGUCAUCGGAUCCAGAAGCAACAUACCGACCAUGUUUUGCCCAUCUAACACAGUUCACUGACCCAAAAUGAUCACGUAGUGUGGCAAGAAGUUUUGGUGUAGAUUCAUCUGCUUCCAAGUCUUUACCCACACAUUUCAUGUUCCAUAUCCGAACCUGAAGACACGUUAAAUGCACAUAAUGCAAAGUACUUUGCUAAUAACAGUAUACUGCAGUAAUGCAGAAAACAUAUAUGAGUAUCAAGAUAGAAGCUUCUCACUCUAACAAGCAAAACUAAGUUGAGAAAAUAAACCAUACAGAAGCAAAAAAUGCCUUCACAGAGGAUCAGAAGUGAUACCAAAAGCUAGAUAUUUAACUAAUUUGCACAUUUUCGCUGUAAGAAAACUAAUCCAAAAAUCUUUAAUGAAAUGGCAUUUCUUACAAGGACAAACAUACUUUAAACUCCCCACCACUUGAGAAUCUUGAUCACACAGAUAUAGCAUACUCUCAAUCUUCAUUUCACUAUGAAAAAAAACCAAAAUAACCUUACAGCUUCCAAAGAAACAACAAUUUGUUAGUGCUCCACUAAAUCAUGAACUAAUUGAAUUCAUAACCAACUUCAAUUGUUCAGGUUCCAAAAUCCACGAACAACUAGAAAUAUCCAUCAACAACAACAACAUACCACACAGUGUAAUCCCACAAGUGGGGUCUAGCGAGGGUAGACUGUACGCAGACCUUACUCCUGCCUUGGGAGGUAGAGAGGUGAUAGAACCUCAGCUCAUGGAAAAGCAUAUCAAAGCAGAACGCAAAAGAAAUAACUGAAGUGAAGUGCUCAUGGAAAAAUACUAUAGAAAGCAUGAUAAAGCACCCUCUUUUAAAAGGAACAAUAAAUGCACCAUAGAAGUGCGAUAAUCGAAGUACACUAGACAGUAGAUAGUAACAGAAACCAUGUUCAUCAACUAGUUAAAACUAUUAGUUCACAGCUCCCAAAAUAUUUAACUAAAUUUUCCCUACACCAACCUAUGAAUAGCUAAAAAGUUAAUAAAGGCAAACAAAAAACAAGAAUGACAAAGCAGUUACCUUAUGAUCACCACCACCAGUGGCAAACCUAAGGCCACCUGGCUGAAUAUCAAUGGAGAAAAUCUGCAUACUCUCAUGUCUAAUCCAAGUAGGUUUCUCAGCAAUCAUCUUUCACAAUUCUGAAAUUCUUGAUUUCUUUGCUGCUAAACCCCAAAGACUCCACCUUUUUCACGCUAAACCCAAAAAACAAAAACCCCACAACUUCAAAAUUAACAUACCAACCACUAAAAAAGAAAAAACCCCAAAAUCAAACACAACAAAAAAAAUUACCCCCACAAGAAAAAAAAAGAGUAAAGAGAUAAAACCCUAGUUGAGAAAAACCAAAAAAAGGGAAAAGACCCAAAAAGGAGUAAAAUUUGGAGAAAAAAAAUAAUCUUGAUUUAUUCAGUUUCAAAAAACAAAAAAAACCCUAGAUUUUGAAAGUAAAUGGUGAAGUGGGGUUGAAAUUUUAUCAAGAAAAAAGAAAGAUUUAAUGCAAAAUUUAAUGGUUUUGCUAACUGUCAAAUCUAAUAAAAAGAUUAAAGAGUGAAAAAAAGAUUGCAAAAAAAGUAGAAGAAUAUAACAAAGGGGAAUCUAUUCAAGUCUUGUUAACACAAAAAAAAAACAGAAGAGAAAAGAAGUGAAGUGUUGUGUACCAGGUAUUUUUGUAGGGUAAAAAAAUUUGAGAGAAGACAAAGAGGCACACAUAAAGUAAUGUUUUUUUUUUUGUUAAACAUAUAAGGUUUGUAAUGUUUAAGUAGCGGUAUUGUGAACAUUAAGUUAUGGGACAAGUUUUUUUUUUUAAUAAUGACGAUGUUCGAGCCAGUUUACGUAUAGGAAUAUUUCUAUAAUAUUAUCUGUUGAUAUUUGGUAAAUUAAUAAUUUUUUUAAGAUAAUAUCAGUGAUGUUUUUUAAAUGAGAAGUUAUUUUUUUAUAUGAUUUUAAGGAAUUUCUUAUGUUGAUUAUAUAAUUUAUUCUCUCACUGUUAUAUAUAGAAUGUUUUUAAUAAAGAUACAAUGAAUAAUAUUUGAUUAUUAAAAAUCAAUGAAUUGUUGAAUUGUUGAAUUUAUUUUACAAUGAAUUAUUUAAUAAAAAAAUAUAUUACAAUGAAUCAUACACAUACAAUAUACUUUUUAUAUAAUUCAAUAAUAUGAUGUAUAAUUUAGUAAUAUACAAUGAUUUUGAUGUAUUCAUUGUACUUUAUAUAUGAUAAAUUAUUAUUUUUAUAUGUGAAUUCAAUAAAAAUGAUACAUAAAUUAGUAAGGUACAAUAAUUUUGAUGUAAUCAAAACUCAAAAUUAAUCUUCAUUGAAUCUCAAAACACUCUUUAAAUUAAUAAAUAUUAAUUUAUUGAUUAAAUAAUACCUCUACAAAAUAAUAAUAUUUCAUGGUCCCGUCUAUAUUAAUUUAGUAAGAUUUUUACUUUAAUAUAUUUGAAUUAACAUGUAAUUUUUUUAAAAUAAUCUAGUAAUUUUAAAUUAAAUACAUAUUAAUAAAUCGAAAUACCCUUUAAAUUCUAUAACAUUCAAUAUAUCAAUAUGACAUUGAAAUUAAACAAAAAAGUUCACUACAUAUAUAAAGUGAUAGUGCUUUAUUAGGGAGGUUUUAUUACUCAAUGUAAGAUUUUUGAAAAUCACCAAGAUUAAUAAGCAAAAAGAAAUAAAUAUAAACAAAAUAAAUAAAUAAAUUACAAAAUUUUAAAAAGCCCACUAGGCAGCCCAUAACAAAAAACCCAACUAACAAAAUCGAACCGAAAUAACAUAAACCGAACCGAAAUACCGAAUGUCCAGUCUUACCAAGAUAGUGGUAGAAUUGUUUCAACCUUAAUAAAAGGUUUCGAGUUCGAAUUUUGGAUAUGGAAAAAAUCUUAUUGAGAGCGCUACCUCAAAUGGGUCAUGCAGUGCGUGAUUCGAAUUUAGUCAGGCUUCAAUGUAAGUUUUUUGAAAAUCAAAAUUUAGUCAAACUUUAAUAACCAGACACAAAAAAUUAUAUUUAAAAAAAAAUAUUAGUACUACUGCUACUUAAAUUUCAGUUUCCAACUGUUCCAACUGUAAAAGCAAACGAACUGGCAAUGAUUCUAAGGCCGUGUUUGGAAAAAGUAAGGCCUUUGCUGCAUUUCAAGAAUCCAUUGAACACCCAUUGUUGUUCUCAUUCAUUCGCCAUUGAUUUCGAAGAAGAAGCUCAAACCAAGUCUUUUGAAUCUUCAAAUUAUCUCCCUGCACACCAAGUGUUUGAUGAAAAGUCUCAGAAAGUUUCUUUGAACAAUCACUUGCUAUUUGAGUACUCCCGGAAUAGUUUCAAUGUAGAAGCUCUGAAUCUGUUUGUGGGUAUUCAUCGUAAUGGAUUUUCGAUUGAUGGGUUGAGUCUUUCUUGUAUAUUAAAGGUCUCUGCUUGUCUGUUUGAUUUGUUUUUUGGUAAACAAGUGCAUACUCUUUGUGUUAAAUCUGGUUACUUUGACAAUGUUAGUGUUGGGACUUCACUUGUUGACAUGUAUAUGAAAAUGGAGAAUGUUGAUGAUGGUCAGAAAAUGUUUGAUGAAAUGGAGGAUAACAAGAAUGUUGUGACUUGGACUUCGUUGCUUUCGGGUUAUUCGUGUAAUAAGUUGGUUGAUAGAGCGUUAGAAGUGUUUCGUGUAAUGUUAGUUGGAGGAGUUAAGCCUAAUGCGUUUACUUUCGCGACAGUUCUUGGAGUUUUGGCUGAUAAAUGUGUAGUUGAAAAAGGGAUUCAAGUGCAUAGUAUGGUUAUCAAGUGUGGUUUUGAGGCGACAACAUCUGUUGGGAAUUCUUUGAUUAAUAUGUAUUUGAAAUCUGGGAUGGUUAGAGAGGCUACAGCUGUAUUUGAGGGUAUGGGAGAUAGGAAUGAAGUAUCUUGGAAUGGUAUGAUAGCUGGUCUGGUGACUAAUGGGCUUUAUUCCGAAGCACUUAAGUUGUUCCACAUGAUGAGACUUGCAGGUGUGGAACUGACACGAUCGAUUUAUGUUACAGCUGUUAAAUUAUGUACUAAACUUAAAGAAUUGGUUUUUGCAAGACAACUUCAUGGUCGAGUUAUGAAGAACGGGUUCUAUUUUGACAAUAAUAUCAGAACAGCACUCAUGGUCUCUUAUACUAAGUGUGGAGAGAUGGACGAUGCCUUCAAGUUAUUCUCUAUAAUGCAUAAAUUCAGGAACGUGGUUUCUUGGACCGCAAUGAUUGGCGGGUAUAUGCAGAAUAACAGACAAGAGCAAGCGGCGAAUCUCUUUUGCCAAAUGAAAAAGGAUGGGAUAAGGCCAAACGAUUUCACUUAUUCAACUAUUCUUGCAGCUCAUCCAUCUAUUUCGCUGUUCCAAGUACAUGCAGAAGUCAUCAAGACUGAGUACCAGAGCUCACCUACCGUCGGAACUGCAUUAUUAGACGCCUAUGUGAAAACAGGAGAUACUGAUGAGGCUGCGAAAGUUUUUGAAGAGAUUGAUGAGAAGGACAUUAUUGCAUGGUCUGCUAUGUUAUCUGGUUAUGCGCAAAAAGGAAACAUUCAAGGUGCUGUCAGAGUCUUCCGGCAACUAGUCAAAGAUGGGGUCAGGCCAAAUGAGUUUACCUUCUCCAGUGUCAUCAAUGCGUGUGUUACUUCCAUGGCAUCAGUGGAGCAAGGAAAACAAUUUCAUUGUAGCGCGAUCAAAUCAGGUCACAGUAAUGCCUUAUGUGUGAGCAGUGCCUUGGUAACUAUGUAUGCUAAGAGAGGAAACAUAGAAAGUGCAAAUGAGAUUUUCAAGAGACAACCAGAAAGAGACUUAGUUUCAUGGAAUUCAAUGAUAUCAGGAUAUGCCCAACAUGGUUAUGGCAGAAAAGCUCUAAAGAUAUUCGAGGAAAUGCGGAAAAGGAAUUUGGAUAUGGACAAUAUAACGUUCAUUGGAGUUAUCUCUGCUUGUACUCAUGCUGGACUGCUAAAUGAAGGUCAAACAUAUUUUGAGAUGAUGGUAAACGACUUUCAUAUUUCACCAAAAAUGGAGAUAUACUCUUGCAUGGUAGACUUGUAUAGCCGAGCUGGAAUGCUGGAUAAAGCCAUGGCUCUUAUCAAUGAAAUGCCAUUUCCUGCUGGUGCAAUUGUGUGGCGUACUCUUCUGGCAGCAAGUCGAGUUCAUCGCAAUGUAGAGCUGGGGAAACUGGCGGCCGAGAAUCUCAUUUCUCUUCAGCCUCAGGACUCAGCUGCAUAUGUCCUUCUAUCCAAUCUCUAUGCUGCAACGGGAGAUUGGCAAGAAAGAGCGAAAGUAAGGAAACUAAUGGAUGUGAGAAAAGUUAAAAAAGAGAUUGGGUAUAGCUGGAUUGAGGUUAAGAAUAAGACCUACUCAUUCAUGGCAGGUGAUGCUUCGCAUCCCCUAUCUGACAGUAUAUACAUGAAACUCGAAGAGUUACGUGGCCGAUUGAAGGAUGCAGGAUAUCAACCGGAUACAAAUUAUGUUCUUCAUGAUGUGGAAGAUGAACAUAAAGAAGCCAUUCUUUCUCGGCACAGUGAAAGGUUAGCUAUUGCUUUUGGAUUGAUUGCCACGCCUCCAGGAAUUCCCAUUCAGAUUGUGAAGAAUCUCAGAGUUUGUGGUGACUGUCACACUGUUAUUAAAUUAAUAUCAAAGAUAGAAGGAAGGCAAAUAGUCGUCAGGGAUUCAAAUAGAUUCCAUCACUUUAAAGGAGGUCUAUGUUCUUGCGGUGAUUAUUGGUGAAUUCAAGCUCUUCGAAUAGACGAAGAGAUAGCAGCAUAUCACAGUUGGUUCCUGUAUAAGCAAAGGCACCAUUAGCUAAUGGAGCUUUAGCUUACAGGGCUAUACCCGAAGUUGCAUCAAUUAUCAGCCUCCAGAUAAUACUAUCACUAAUGGUUGUUUUGUUCAUGGAUUCAAACUUUGAUAGUGCACAGUCUAGAGGAAGAAACAGAGAAUUUUCCAACUUUACAUAUCUGCCGAUUCAAGUUAUUUUAUUUAUGGACUGAGGGAUAGAAAUGCUGUCAUUUUGGCUGAUUUUUAAGAGCAGUUGACAGAUCACGAUCCGCCUUACAGAAAACAAUCAGAAACUCAGAAGAAUUAAUUUGAGUGGAGGUUUAGUUUUUUCCUGAAGAUAAAGAAAGUCAGAGACUCUUGUCACUUACCAAGACUCAAAGUAUGUCUUCUGGUAUUUUGUUCAACAUGGUUUUUCUGGUCUUGCUGCUCGUAAUGCUGUAUUCGGUAGGAAAGGUGAUCUUGCAACAACGAUGAUGACCAACUAGCAGCUCUUUCUGAUUAUGUUUUCAUUUGAACCUAACCUUGAGCAUGUCAAACUCAUGAAGGAUGUGGAAAUGUUCGAGUCCAGGAAGGACCAUUCAGUAACGCCUUUUGACAACAGCUGACACUUCGGAGAUUUCCUGCUACCCCAUAAUAACCUCUUCCAGAAAAUCUAUAUUCAGAUACAGGGUAGAACCAUUAACUGUGUUUAUGCAUUGCUACAUUACUGAAGUUUAUCCAACUGAUGAGUCGAUUCUAUAUCGACGACUCAAUGAGUUGAAACAUCUCAGGUUUUUCCUCAUAUUUCAUAAAAAAUGACGAAUUCCUCACUGUUUUCUUCUUAUGUUGUAGGGAUUGGUAACAUGAACCUGCAGACUCAAUUGAUGAUGAGGAAGUAGCUGCAAAGACUAGGAAAAAGAAACUGGAAUAGCAGAUGCCUAGCACAUAUUCGCCAAGCUUUUGCUUCUGCUGACUUGUUGGGCCUAUGGAUCAGACUUGAAAUCAAAGAGAGGCUGCACAUAUGUGCUAGAUUUUCCGCAAAUAUGCAUCCAUGGUCAACCUUAUUGUCUUGAAAUUGUUAAGUUCUUGUUUUGUGAGGAUUCUGUAGGGAGCUCUGUGAGAGGAGGCCUCUAGUAUGUCCAUGAUGUUCAGGCCAGCCUGCGUGCACCUCGACUAAUUCCACAGUGGUACUUGCUACUUUCGAACAACAUAGGUACCGGGCAACUCUGUCCACCAACUUUUGUGUGGACAACGACAGACAAAAUGGUUCUUGGCAAGACAAGAGUUUUAACUAUAGAAUUGUCUUCUUUCUCUCUUUUUUGCCUUUUAGUUUCGAGGUAUCUAGGAGUUCUAAAAUGGUCUUAAUUCCUACCGUGUGCUAAAUUCACUCUCUGGUGUGAUGAUGGAUCUUAUUGUGCAGCUUGGAUUAUUUUUUCUGUCAUUCUUGAUUCCUAUGAAUGAUGAAUGAGUUGUUUACUCAAUCCUGUAUUUCAAUUACAUUUUUGAACUGACACUUGGGAUUGAUUUGCAUUUAUGGAAAUCUGAAAUGAUUAGAUCAGUAUGAUUUGUGUAUAAGAUAUACAUUUCUUCAUGUUAUUUAUACCAAUAACUAGUGUAUUGAUAAGUGUUCUUGGAGUAGUUGGUCCUGCCCUUAGCCUAAGUGCCUAUGAUUUCAUUUUUCAGGCAAUUUUGCUUAACUUGUUCUUUAGUAAGUUUAUCUACAACAUUUGGUGACGCCUUAUUUGGGGUGGUAUCAUUUAAAUCGAAGUCCCUCUCUGGGGCCAUCUCGUUUAAUCGAAGUCAACUGACUCAUAAUAGUGAAAAUUGGCACACGCGUCGGAUCCAUUAGAAGAUGAAGCUUGCACCAGUCAUGAACUUUGAGUCAUCACCUUGAGGUAACUUCAGAAGGUAAGUAGGAAUGCUCAUGAAAUGAUUACAAAGUAAUUGCAAUUAGCAUUGUAAAAGGAAUAAUACAACAAAGAUACUAGCAAAAUGUUCUGUCUUGACAUUGAUAAAUACAUGCAAAGCUAAAACUAAUACAAUCCAAGAAGGUAAACAAUGUCAACCUCCCAUUUGGAGAGCCUUUGAAUAUCGCGAAUUUUUCAGACAAGUAGAAGGGAGAAAGAAUACAAAUCAUGGCAACUCCCGGUGUAGUAGUUAUCAGAGAUGCAUCAAUCUCUUCAACCUUCUUCUCCAAAUUCCUUUGUGAAUCUGUCGUGCACUUCAAGGUCGGAUUUACUAACUGUUGGCCUUUGACGAGCAAGAACCUUAUCAAAGUCUGUCUUUGUAAUGGGUGGCGGGAUGAUCUGCAAGGGCAUUAAUCAGCAAGCUGUUUAUAACUAGUCCCGGCAGAUAAGAAGACAGUUUAUGUAAAGCCAUAUCAGAACUUCAGACUAAAAUAUUACUAGUAAUUUUUUUCUUGAGCAGAGGAUCUAUCGGAAACAACCCCUCUCUACCUAACAAGGGUAGGGUAAGGACUGCGUAUACUCUACAUUCCUCAUACCCUACUUGUGGGAGCACACUGGGUCUGUUGUCGUUGUUGUUAAUUCUAAUAUCAGCUAUUCAGAAUUGACACAUAGGAAGAUGUAGUUCAUUAAAAGCACAAUCUCUUCUUACAUUUUAGUUCAACAAAAUCAUAUGAUACGCAGACCUUUAUGCUAGAAUCACAUUUAAUUACUGUAUUACUAGUGACUCGAAAGAAGUCAAAUUUCCAGACAUGUGCAGUCGUACUCCCCGGCCCCAAUAGAUUCCAGCUAAAACUCAUAAAACUUUUUUUUCUUUUUUGAGAAAGGUAAAGUUGCAACCAAAUAAAAAACUACUUAUGGCAGUGAUCUCAAACUAUACAUGUAUCCCGAAUAUCUACCUGAGAUGCAAGUCCUUUAGCAGCAAGCUCCUGCAUAGUUGUCUGCACAGCACCCCGUUGCUUCGGUCCGCAUGGAAUCCAGGUACCAUUAGAAGUUUGAGUAAAGAACACAGCAUCUUGUGUCUUACGUACGGGUUCAAAUAGCACGUCCUUGACCUGUCCAAGAAGAAAAAGUAUAUAAAUAUAUUAGGAGAACAUUGAGGAAUUGCCGCCUUUGUUACCUUCAGUACAAACCAGACAAAAACAUGUUGGGCAUCAAGGCAAAUUCAUUAAGGUCCAGACUUACACAAACAGAAACAUCUGAACCAGAAAAACCUUCUGUCUUACGGGCCAGGUCUUCAAAGUCACUCUCGCUCAAGUUAUGGGGGGUAUCACCUAAAUGAACCUGCACGUGUAACAAGCCAAUCUAAAUAAAUCUAGCUCUCACAAAUCGACUUGCAAUAUAUUUCCUUGAACUUCACUUUCCAAGAAAAAUCACAGAACAGAAUUUUACUUUGAACAUUUUUUUUUUGAUGAAGUAGUUUCAUUUAAAGGCGGGAUUUACUUUGAACAUGUGUUGCCGUGCCUUCAAAUCAGGGAGCGGAAUGUAGAUACGCUUGUCAAAUCUUCGCCGUAUAGCCUGUAGAGGACAAUUUCCAUCAGCAAUAAAUUUCAAAGAUAAACAACUUUUUACUGCAAAUCAUUCUUCACCUGAUCUAGGGCAUAGGGUGUGUUUGUCGCCGCAAGUACAAGAACUUUAUCAUCAUUGUGUCCAACACCCUGAAAAACAAAUUAAGAAAAAAAUAUCUUUAGCCAGGGGGAUUUCUCUUCCUCCAUAGCCAUGAUAGAUCAAUUACCUGCAUCUGCACAAGGAGUUCUGUUUUAAUACGUCGAGAAGCUUCACUUUCAUUUCCUUCUCCUCGCUGCCCACACAAGGAAUCAAUUUCAUCAACAAAUAUGAUGGAAGGAGCGCUUUCACGAGCCAUUUGGAAGAGGUUUGAAACUAGCUUUUCACUUUCACCCAUCCACUUGGAUACAAGGUCUGAUGAUGAGACGCUGCACGAAAAUAGCAGUUGGCACUCGCCAACUUUACAGCGUAAGCUCUUGAAAAUGGGAAACUGAGAAAAUAACUGACAAAGAAACAGAUACAGAACGACUAUAUUCAUGCAAGCAAUUCAUGUUUAUAUCCCUCCAUCAAGAUGAUUAUGUGCAAGUUUAAAAGAGAAAUUAGAUAGUGCAAAUGGAAGAUAUAUUACCACUGAGAACUGCAGAGAUUUCACGGAAUACUUGCAGGUAUAGAAUCAUUCAAGGAAUCAGGAAUCUUGACAUGGACCGCAAAAUGGAAGCCGAGUAUAUUAAAAUUUCAGGAAAAGGGUCAUUGUACUGUGUACAUAUUGUAUUUUGCUUCUAGAAAGGCAUCAAUCCAAUAAUUUCACAUGCUAUAGCUUGGUUGUCUCUAUUCAGGAGAUGUUAGGCAUCCCAAUAACCCCCACAAUGGCUCAUUGGUCAUCCCCUUAUGCUAGACUAUAGUCUUCACAUCCUGAAUACUUCCUAAGAUGGACAUGCAAAGACAUUUAUAUUAUGACUUAAGGGUGGAUGUGUACCUCUAUGGCAUGGCUGCUCUAUAGAAUUGGUACCAAAUCAAAACAUUCAACACCCUUGGAUACCAGACUAUAUUUAUCAACCAAUUCCAACAUCACAUUCUGUCCUAGAUGUAUAGAUCUGCAAGUGACACACCACCGAGGGGGACAACCCAGAUAUGACAUUUCUGGGGGAAAAGAACCUCAUGGGAAGUAGAUAUCCAAAAGAACCAUAAAGUCUUAACAAAAAUAAAGCUAAUAUAAAUACUACUCCCUCCAUUUCAAAUUAAUUGAAUUGUUGAGACAUUUUUCAUUUUUCAAUUUACUUAAUUGUUCAAUUAAAAAAAUUGUUCAAUUUUCAAGACUACUUUUAGAAUGUUCUUCCAAUUUUACCCUUCAUUAGUUAGCAUUGGAAUUAGUUAUUAAUUAGUCUUAAGUUAUUUUAAUCAUAAAUUUGACAAUAAUUAAUUAGGGUAAAAAUGGAAUGUUAUGCCUAAUUUAUGUCUUAAUCUUCUUUUCUUAAAGGGUGUGAAACAUCUCAACAAUUCAAUUAAUUUGAAAUGGAGGGAGUAUAAUUUAUGAGCAGAAAAUCAUUUCCCACAACAAAUAAGGAGCAACACCCACGAAACUACAACAACAACAACAACAACAACAACNNNNNNNNNNNNNNNNNNNNNNNNNNNNNNNNNNNNNNNNNNNNNNNNNNNNNNNNNNNNNNNNNNNNNNNNNNNNNNNNNNNNNNNNNNNNNNNGAGACAAUAACAAGAAAGAUAUAGGGAGUGAAACGCAGUAAACAGCAAAAGGCUAGGACUGCUCCAAACGCUAACAACCCAAGCCUUCGCAAGGGAAGACAACCCGCUAACCCUACUAACCUUCAACCUUAAUACGCGACCUCCACUCCUUCCUAUCUAGAGUCAUGUCCUCGGUGAUGUGAAGCAUAGCCAAGUCUUGUCUAAUCACCUCUUCCCAAUACUUCUUGGGUCUACCUCUACCCCUCCGCGUACCCUCUACCACCAUUACCUCGCACCUCCUCACUGGGGCGUCUGCACUCCGUCUCUUCACAUGUCCAAACCAUCUCAGUCUCGCUUCCCUCAGCUUGUCCACCACAGAGGCCACUCCCACCUUCUCCCGGAUAACCUCAUUCCUAAUCUUGUCGCUCCUAGUGUGCCCACACAUCCAUCUCAACAUCCUCAUCUCCGCAACAUGCAUUUUAUGAACAUGUGCGUUCUUAACUGGCCAACACUCCGCUCCAUACAACAAGGCCGGUCUAACUACCACUCUGUAGAACUUACCUUUAAGUUUCGGUGGAAUUUUCUUAUCACACAAUACUCCAGAGGCAAGCCUCCAUUUCAUCCAAGCAGCCCCAACGCGAUGUGUGACAUCAUCGUCGAUAUCGCCACUCCCUUGGAUUACAGCCCCAAGAUACUUAAAACUUUCCUUCUUAGGAAUGACUUGUGCGGCAAGUCUCACUUCCACAUCAUGGAUAUUGGAUCAUGACCAAGAUGGUAAAUUAGCAGGAGUUAAUUAAGAUUCAAACAAAACAAAAACAUUCUGAACGUACUGAGCAUAUAAAGAGGCUUACAUCAGCCAACUCCAUGCAAAGGCACAAGCAUCAUCCCACACUCCAAGAAGGAAAACGAAGGCAAUGUAAAAGACUCCUAGUCGACUUGGAUAUUGAACCACAUUCUAUAUUUAGUGAUUGAGCCCUUUACGUUCCUUACUACUACUGAUUCUUGACUCAAGCACCAAAUUACAUCAAAACAUCAUUCAUGCAAAGAAGAAAAUCAACAAGAGAAUAUGAGAAAGGAAGGUCAUAAAAACUAUAAAGAUAACAAAUUAUGAGAAAGGAAGGCCAAAAAAAAAAUUAUAAAGGAAAUUAAAUAAGAACCUAACAAGCAAAUGGUACAUCUUCUCCCCCGACUUCUUAUUGGUAUUCUGAGAUUUUCCUUUACAAUCUUUAGGGCUGCUAAGCAGAUCCUCAUUUUGCUCAAGAUCUUUUUUUCUUCACGAAUGACAGAUGAUAUGAUGUACAAAUUUUGCAAUUUAAAUACAGCCUUUCGUAUUUACAAAAUAAAAGCUGCAGUGAAUCAGGAAAUAUCUGAAGUUGAUAGCUUCUAUGUGCUGUAAAAUGGACAACAUUAUCAACAAACACAAUUGCAUGUAGGAAGACAAAUACCUAAAAAAAGUGGAUUCUGCUUCAGUAGCAACAGCUUUGGCCAAGUAAGACUUUCCUGUCCCAGGAGGACCAUAAAGAAGAAAAGCUCUCCACGGUCGCCUCUUGCCUGUAGGUACAUGAGAAAGGAGAAAAAAAACACUCAAACUGUUGUGGACAAAAGCACCCAAAAGAUUGCUCAAGUUAUGUCAUGCACACGUUGCAAAACCACUCAACCAUCUCUAAUAUAACACAAAGAGAAAAAGAACAUAUUACUCACCAAGUUUUUUUUCCUUAAUGAUUUUUAUCCCACUACUACUUUUUUGGUUGAGCUAGGAAGAGCUGUAACAUGAAUCCUGGACUAACUAUAAAGAGAAAUUCCAAAAUGUGGGAUUUACUCAGAGUUCACCUCUCAUACUUCAAAAGAAAAAGCCAGACAACCAACUGUCUCUAAUUGCUAAGCAAUGCAAUUAACCAAUCAGUUACCCAAGUAUAGAAGACCAUUUGCUCAAGAUCAUGCAGUCACAGGCAAAGAACUUCCUCCUUCACAUCGAGGCUCUUCAGGAAUCUAGUCAUGAGACUCCCAAAAUUGUACCUAAGGCCCUUUGGCAGCCUAGCCUUCUUCAUUGUAGACUUCAGCAUUUUCUUUACCAAACUUCACAUUUCAAAACACAUGCACAGACGCGCUCACACAAAUGUUGAAAGACAUUUAGAAUGUAGAGAAGUUAACUCAUCCACAGCAUCACUAAUAACCUAAGAACUCUUAAACAUGCUCAACAAAAAGCAAUUCAUUUUCUACUCAUAUUCAGCUAUCUACAGACUAACCUGGCACUUUGUGGUCCCCAAAUUGAAAGGGUUUAAAAUGUACAAUAGGUAAAGACUCAAACUUACUUCUUUCCAUAAGUUAAAAACUAGAACUAUUGGAACCCAUGUAACCCCAAUUAUGACAUAAGUGUCUUCUAACUAAUACUCCAUGGUGUUUGGUUUGCAACAUAAAACUCUGUAUAACUGCCUAUAAUUCCCACUGCAUAAUAAGCACUAUAAUCCCUUUAACGACACCUAACAUCAUAUUGCUACUUCCUUUACCCAAAAAAAAACUAAGGCAUAAUACAUAAACAGACACUCAAACUUGGCCUCAGCUCUCAACUGGCAACUAAAAACUACAACUUGCCCCCACUAUGUCUCGUGGAUACCCUGCACUGAUGUAGCUCAUAAAUUAUGGAGGUGUCUAGAUGAUCAUUUUGUAAGUUGGAGUGUUCAACGGACAGAGUGGAGACGAGUUGAAGUGUCAAGAUGGAGUGCUUACUUGCUAGCUGAGGGCAUGUUUGAGUGUCUGUUUAUGUAUUAUGCCAAAAAAUAAUUGUGUUUAAGCUACUUCAGAAUCACAAGGAAACCAUCAAUCAAAGCAACAAUCUUUACUAGCAAAAUGCAGCAAUAACACAAAAACAAUCCAACAAAAGCAUACACACACCUGUGAAGAACUGAGGGAAUUUCACUGGCAAAAUGACAGCUUCCUGCAAUGCCUGUUUAGCACUCUCCAAUCCAGCAACAUCAUUCCACUUCACAUUAGGUUUCUCUCUAACAAUUGCUGAAUUAAGCCCAGCCCUUAGCUUAGACUGCUCAGGAUCCUCCCCAUCCUCACCAUCCUUAGGCUUAGUCUUAGGCUUAGCAAUCACAGCUGCAUCUCCUCCAUUUGGACCAGGCCCACUCCCACCCUCAUCCAACACAGCCCUAAUCUCCUCCGCACGGCGUAAAUACUCUGUAAAUUUCUGGGUAAUUGCCUCCUUAAUCUUAGGAUUCUUCUCGUACUUCAAAUGGGUCUUGAAGUACUCCAAUGCAUUCAUAUACAACGGAAAUGCCUUGGCAUAGUUUCCACUAUUGUCCUCUUGCACUGCUUGCCUUACGUAAUCAAUUGCUUGCUCCUUGAAAUUGCUAUACAUCUUCGAUCAUAUAGAAAAAAAAAACCCACAAAAUUAACCAAGCAAAUUUCAGGGUUUUGAUCAGAACUCAAAAGGGUGUCCGCAAAACCACAAAACUAACCAAGAAAAUUAAUGGGUUUUCAUCAGAACUCAAAAGGGUGUUCGAAAAAAGUUGAUUUAAGAAAAAAAAAUCAUAUAAACAGUGUUCUGAGUAAUGGAUCUUUUUGAAGAUUUUGAGCUUUUUUGGGUGGAUUAGGAACCCUAAAAAUUGGGGAUUUUGGUUUUGAUUUAAGAAAAAGAUUGAUUAGAGAUCGAAGGUUGGAUUAUGGAAGAAGAAAACAUUUGAAAGAAUCGUAAUUUGUGAGUUUGAACGUUGAAAUUUACAGGGGAAAGUGUUUUUGUCAUACACCAAGGGCUGCUGUUAAGGAACGGAAAAAGGUCAAAAAUGUUGCUAAUUAAAAAUGAAAUGACUCAAAAAUAUAUCUCACUCAUAACUCAUACAGUUCAUUUUACUUGUUACGUAUUUUUAAAAUAGAUUUUUAUUUUACAAAUUAUGCAAAAUAGCAAAUAUUUAAAUCAUAUUAAAUAUUAUAGUUACACACCGCUAUAGUUUUGCUCAAUCUUGCUAUUAGCAUGAUUUGUAUAAUUUAUCUUAUUUGUAUAAUUCCAGAAUUUGUACACUUUGAUUUCUGAUUGUAUAAAAUUCAAAAUUAUAUAUAUAUUUACCCUAGUUGUUUUGUAUACGAUUUAUGAAAAAAUCAUAAUAAAUUACCCUAUUUAUAUAUUGGCAAGCGAAAUAUACAAAACGGAGUUUUGAAAAAUUUCUAAAUGUAUAAAUUCAGAAUUUGUAUGGACUAACCCUAUUUGUGUAUACAAACGGACGAAAAAUAUGCAACCACAACCUCCAUAGGUAACAAAUCUAUAGCUAUGGAGCGCAAUUAUCAAAACUAUAGAUAUAGAACCUCAUUGUCUAUUAUGUUUCCUAUUUCCGAAAUUUUUUGUCGAUAAUCAUUUUCUUUAUGGGUGUGUCAAGUCAAACAGUGACAAAUAAAAAAUCAGCAAAGGGAUAUUUUAUUUUACUAGAAAAGAGUGUUGGCCAAGAGCCUAAGACUAAGAACAUCUUUUCAAAAUGAAGAUCAGUUCCAUCUCCACUACAGCGUACCACCUUCAUUCAAUAUUGAAAUUAGAAUUAAAAGGUCAAAUACACACUUGAAGGCGUUACUGCUAUUCUUGUUUCCUAUGGAUGAUGACACAGCUCGACGUGUGACCUCCUUAUCACAUGACAACAACUUUACUAGUUAAGCCGAGGAAGCUCCCUCGGCACGUGAGUUUUAACUACACUCUAAAUAAGUUGGCCACAAGAAAAGAGAGGUUACCAGCUUUGUUGUUACUAUUAGCAGCACUUGCUGACAAAUUGUGAAUUAACUGCCUGCAAAUAGAAUUGUAAAAGGAAUACAACAAAGAGACUAGCAAAAUGUUCUGUCUUGACAUUAAUAAAUACAUGCAAAGCUAAAACUAAUACAAUCCAAGAAGGUAAACAAUGACAAUUUCCCAUUUGAAGAGCCUUUGAAUAACGCAAAUUUUUCAGACAAGUAGAGGGGAGAAAGAACACAAAUCAUGGCAACUCCAGGUGUAGCAGUAUACAUCAAUCUCAUCAACCUUCUUCUCCAAACUCCUUUGUGAAUCUGUCAUGCACUUCAAGGUCGGAUUUACUAACUGUUGGCCUUUGACGAGCAAGAACCUUAUCAAAGUCUGUCUUUGUAAUGGGGGGCGGUAUGAUCUGCAAAGGCAUUAAUCAGCAAGAUGCUUAACUAGUCCUGCCCGUUAAAGAGGACAAUUUAUCCAAAGCCAAAUUAGAACUUCAUACUAAAACAUUACUAGAUGAUUCUAAUAUCAGCUACUGAGACACGGGUCUGUCGCAAAUAGCCUAUCUACCUUCAUAAGGUAGGGGUAAGGACACUAUCCUCCCCAGACCCCACUUGUGGGGAUCACACUGAGUAUAUUACUGUUUGAUUCUAAUAUUAGCUACUAAUUCUUCCUUUUUCGGGGUAAUCAAGCUAUUCAGAAUUGAGUCAUUGACACAUAGGCAGAUGUAGUUCAGUAAAGGCACAAUAUCUUCUUACAUUUUAGUUCAGACUUCAGUAUAACCAUAUGAUGUGCAAACAGUAACGUUAGAAUCACAUUUAAUUAUUGCAUUACUAGUGACUUGAAAUAAGUCAAGUUUCCAGACGUGUGCAGUUGUAGGCCCCGGCCCCAAUAUAUUCCAGCUAAAACUCAUACAAGCACAAGAUUUGGCUAAGUGACCAGAUUAAAAAUUAAUUAUGGCAGUAAUCUCGAACUAUAAAUGUAUCCCAAAUAUCUACCUGGGAUGCAAGUCCUUUAGCAUCAAGCUCCUGCAUAGUUGUCUGCACAGCACCCUGUUGCUUUGGUCCGCAUGGUAUCCAGGUACCAUUAGAAGUCUGAGUAAAGAACACAGCAUCUUGUGUCUUACGUACGGGUUCAAAUAGCACAUCCUUGACCUGUCCAAGAAGAGAAGGUAUAUAAAUAUAUUAGGAGAAUAAAGAGGAAUUGCCCCCUUUUUUCCUUCAGUGUUUAGCAAGUUCAAGUGGAUUGGUGUAGAAGAAAGGGUCUCUUCCAACUACAAACUCACAAACAACAUGUUGGGCAUAAAGUCAAAUUCAUUAGGGUCCAGACUUACACAAACAGAAACAUCUGAACCAGAAAAACCUUCUGUCUUACGGGCCAGGUCUUCAAAGUCACUCUCGCUCAAGUUAUGGGGGGUAUCACCUAAAUGAACCUGCACGUGUAACAAGCCAAUCUAAAUAACUCUAGCUCUCACAAGUCGACUUGCAGUAUAUUUCCUUUUUUUUUUUUUGGAUGACAAGGGAAACCCGCAGCCGCUACCCUUUGGGUGCGCACAGGGUAAAACCCCCGCUCCUAUGCAAUAGCUCGCAAACCACAUAGGAGAGGUAACCCGCACUAGGCAAGCCUGGUGCGACGAGCUCGACCCAGAAGGCAAAACCCCUUGCUUUCGCUGGCAAGGGGUUUCGAACUUGAGACCUCCAACAUGAAAGUUCCAAGCUCAAACCACUGGGCCACCCCGAAGGGUUGUAGUAUAUUUCCUUUUUGAACUUCACUUUCCAAGAAAAAUCACAGAACAGGAUUUACUUUGAACAUGUGUUGCCGUGCCUUCAAAUCUGGGAGCGGAAUGUAGAUACGCUUAUCAAAUCUUCGCCGUAUAGCCUGUAGAGGACAAUUUCCGUCAGCAAUAAAUUUCUAAGAUCCACAACUUUAAAGUGCAGAUCAUUCUUCACCUGAUCUAGGGCAUAGGGUGUAUUUGUUGCCGCAAGUACAAGAACUUUAUCAUCAUUGUGACCAACACCCUGAAAAAAAAAAAAAUAAGAAAAAGAAAUCUAUAGCCGGGGGGUUUCUCUUCCUCUUUUCUUUCUGAUAGGUUGAAGUUGGUUAUGACAGUUCAAGGAACCACAUAAUAGCUAUGAUAGAUCAAUUACCUGCAUCUGCACAAGGAGUUCUGUUUUAAUACGUCGAGAAGCUUCACUUUCGUUUCCUUCUCCUCGCUGCCCACACAAGGAAUCAAUUUCAUCAACGAAUAUAAUGGAGGGAGCGCUUUCACGAGCCAUUUGGAAAAGGUUUGAAACUAGCUUUUCACUUUCACCCAUCCACUUGGAUACAAGGUCUGAUGACGAGACGCUGCAUGAAAAUAGCAGUUGGCACUCGCCAACUUUACAGCGUAAGUUCUUGAAAAUGGGAAACUGAAAAAAUAGCUGACAAAGAGCAGACACAUGACGACUAUAUUCAUGCAAGCAACUCAUGUUUAUAUGCAUCCAUCAAGAUGGUUACGUGCAAGUUUAAAAGAGAAAUCAAUAGUGCAAAUGGAAGAUUUAGUACCACUGAGAACCGCAGAGAUUAGAACAUUUGCAGGUAUAGGAUCAUUCGACUAUCGAGGACACAGGCAUCUUGAAAUCUCCCACAUAAUGGCAGCAGAGAAUAUCAAAAAAUCAGGGGAAAGGCCAUUAUACAUAUUACUUUUUGCUUCUAGAAAGACAUCAACAUAUUGCAUGAUUUCACAUGCUAUCCCUUGGUUUUCACAACUCAGGAAAUGUUUGGCACCCCAAUAACCCCCACAGGAGUCCGGUGACAGGACAGAUUUUUUUGUUGUUGGCGGGGUUAGCAUAAAAGAACAACUACUACAAAGCAAAAGCUCUACAUGUUGACCUCCAUUGGAAGUCUUUGCAACAAAACAAAACUGAUGGAUCCUGAUUGUAUAAUCCUACUGAAAUUUUAUUAUUGUAAGCUUUGAAUUGUAAUUGAAAUUACUGCAAUCACAAACAAGGCCUUAGCUGAAGGUUCAAUUUGACUCUGCUCUACAUCAACAUAUUGCAUGAUGUACUGGUCUGAUCUUAAGAUUCAUGGGUUAGCAUCACUUGCGUUGGCAGUAAGUGAGAUGUGUCUAACAAACUGGAGAUAUACAAGAUGAUCUCAUCCAGAGGUUAAAAUCAGGAUAAUGCUGAGAUGCAGAACCAUAAAAUCCAAAAAAAAUUGCUCAUUGGUCAUCCCCAUAUGCUAGACCUAGACUAAAGCCUUCACAUCCUGAAUACUUCCUAAGAUGCACAUGCAAAGCCAUUGAUAUUAUCACUAAGGCUGGAUGUGUUCCUCUAUGGCACGGCUGCUCUAUAAAAUUGGUACCAAAACAAAACAUUAAACACCCUUGGAUACCAGAGUAUGUUUAUCAACCAAUUCCAACAUCACAUUCUGUCCUAGAUGUAUAGAUCUGCAAGUGAUACACCACCGAGGGGGACAACCCAGAUAUGACAUUUAUGAAGGAAAAGAACCUCAUGGAAAGAAGAUAUUCAAAAGAAUCACAAAGCCUCAACAAAAAUAAAGCUAUUAUAAAUACUACUCCCUCCGUCCCAAAAUAAGUGUCACCUUAGCAAAAAAAAUUGUCCCAACAUAAGUGUCACCUUAGGAAUUCAAGACAAAAUUAGUAUGUUUUUUCAACUAUAUCCUUAUACUCCAUCUUCUUAGUAGUGUUCAGUUUUCAGGAGAUAUUUAUUAAAUAAAGUAGUUUAGUAAACUACACAUUAUUUUUAUUGAUUUCUUAAUGGAUGUGAUUUUUGCCAAGGUGACACUUAUUUUGGGAUGGAGGAAGUAUAAUUAAUAAGCAAUCACCUCCCACAACAAAUAACGAGCAACACCCAUGAAACUACAAAGCCCUUAACUCAUGGAUCAUGACCAAGAUGUUAAAUUAGCAGGAGUUAAUUACGAUUUAAACAAAACAAAACAUUCUGGACAUAUUGAGUAUAUAAAGAGGCUUACAUCAGCCAACUCAAAAGGCACAAGAACCAUCCCACACUCCAAAAAGGAAAACACAGGCAAUGUAAAAAUUUCCUAGUUGACUUGGAUAUUGAACCACAUUCUGUAUUUAGUGAUUGAGCCCUUUAUGUUCCUUACUACUUCUGAUUCUUUGAUUAAGGAGCCAGAUUACAUAAAAACAUCAUCUAUAAAAAGAAGAAAAUCAACACAAAUUAUGAGAAAGAUAGGUCAUAAAAACUAUACAGAUAACAAAUUAUGGAAAGGAAGGCCAAAAGAUAAACUAUACAGAAAAUAAAAUAAAGAACCUAACAACCAUAUGGCCAAAAUCGGUUGCAUCUUCUCCCCAGACUUCUUUUUAGCAUUGAUAUUCUAUAAUUUUCCUUUAUAAUCUUUAGGGCUGCUAAGAAGAUUCUCAUUUUGCUCAAGAUCUUUUUCGUUUACUAAUGACAGGUGAUAUAAUGUACCAAAUUUGCAAUUUAAAUACAGCCUUUGUUUUUUUCCAAAAUAAAAGCGGCAGUGAAUCAGGAAAGAUCUGAAGUUGAUAGCUCCAUUUUGCAGUAAAAUGGACACAUUAUAAACAAACACAAUUGCAAGUAGGAGGACAAAUACCUAAAAAAGGUGGAUUCUGCUUCAGUAGCAACAGCUUUGGCCAAGUAAGACUUCCCUGUCCCAGGAGGACCAUAAAGAAGAAAAGCUCUCCAUGGUCGUCUCUUGCCUGUAGGUACAUGAGAAAGGAGAAAAAAGCACUCAAAUUGGUGUGAACAAAAGCACCCAAAAAAUUACUCAAGUUAUGUGAUGCACACAUGGAUAAACUAUUCAACCAUCUCUAAUGUACCACGAAGAGAAAAAGAACAUAAUAUUCACAUGUUUUUUGCCUUAAUGAUUUUUAUCCCACUACAACUCUUUUGGUUGAGCUAGGAGGAGUUGUAACAUGAAUCGUGGGCCAACUAUAAAGAGAAAUUCGAAAUUGUGGGAUUUACUCGGAGAUCACCUCUCGUACCAAUGCAAUUAACCAAUCAGUCUCCCAAAUAUAUAAGACAAUUUGCUCACAACCACGCAGUCACAGGCAAAGAAUACCCACUUUCUUUGCCAAACUUCACAUUUCAAAACGCACACAGACAAAUGCUUAAAAGUUGUAAGGCAUUUCGAAUGUAGAGAAAAUAACUCAUCCACAACAUCACUAAUACUCUAAGAACUCCUACACAUGCUCAACAGAAAGCAUUUUCAUUUUCUACUCAUAUUCAGUUAUCCACAGACUAACCUGGCACUUAGUGUUCCCCAAAUUGAAACGGUUUAAAACAUUCAAUAGGUAAAGACUCAAACUUACUUCUUUCUAUAAGUUAAAAACUAUAACUAUUGGAACCCAUGUAACCCUGACAUAAGUGAAAAUCUUUCUAACUAGGAGUCGAAAGUGUUUGGUUUGCAACAUAAAACUCUGUGUAUAACUGCCUGUAGUUCCCACUUCCCACUUCCCACUGCAUAAUAAGCACUAUAAUCCCUUUAACAACACCUAACAUCUUAUUGACUUAUUUCUACUUCCUUUACCCAAAAGAAAUAAGGCAUAAUACAUAAACAAUACACUCAAACUUGAUCUCACCUAGCAAGUAAGCACUCCAACUUUGAGAGUGCACACCAAGACACCUCGGCUGACUUAGGAGAUGUCUAGAUGAUCAUUUUGUAAGUUGGAGUGUUUAACGGACAUAGUGGAGACGAGUUGAAGUGUCUAGAUGUGCAUAUGCAAGGUUGGAGAGCUUACUAGCUAGCUAAGACCAAGUUUGAGCUUCUGUUUAUGUAUUAUGCCAAAAAACAAUUGUGUUUAAGCUACUUCAUAAUCACAAAGCAAACCAUCAAUUAAAGCAACAAUCUUUACUAGCAAAACACCACAAUAACACAAAAACAAUCCAACAAAAGCAUACACACACCUGUGAAGAACUGAGGGAAUUUCACAGGCAAAAUGACAGCUUCCUGCAACGCCUGUUUGGCACUCUCCAAUCCAGCAACAUCAUUCCACUUCACAUUAGGUUUCUCUCUAACAAUUGCUGAAUUAAGCCCAGCCCUAAGUUUAGACUGCUCAGGAUCCUCCCCAUCUUCACCAUCCUUGGGCUUAGUCUUAGGCUUAGCCAUCACAGCUGCAUCUCCUCCAUUUGGACCAGGCCCACUCCCACCCUCAUCCAACACAGCCCGAAUCUCCUCCGCCCGGCGUAAAUACUCUGUAAAUUUCUGGGUAAUUGCCUCCUUAAUCUUAGGAUUCUUCUCGUACUUCAAAUGGGUCUUAAAGUACUCCAAUGCAUUCAUAUACAACGGAAAUGCCUUGGCAUAGUUUCCACCAUUGUCCUCUUGCACUGCUUGCCUUACAAACUCAAUUGCUUGCUCCUUAAAAUUGCUAUACAUCUUCAAUCCUAUAGAAAAAAAAAACAAGAAAAUUUCUGGGUUCUGAUCAGAACUCAAAAGGGUGUCCGAAAAAUCACACAAUUAACCAAACAAAUUUAUGGGUUUUGAUCAGAACUCAAAAGGGUGUUCCGAAAAACCACAAAACUAGCCAAUAAACUUUCUGGGUUUUGCUCAGAACUCAAAAGAGUGUUCAGAAAAAAAGCUGAUUUUAGAAAAAAUCGUAUGAACAGUGUCCUAAGUAAUGGAUCUUUCUGAAGCUUUUGAGCAUUUUUUUUGGUGGAUUAGGUGAGUUUGACAGUAGAUAUGAACCCUAGAAAUUGGGGAUUUUUGGUUAAUUCAAUGAAAAAUUGAUUAGAGAUCGAAGGUAAUAAGGAGAUCGGAAAACAUUUGAAAGAAUCGAAAUUUGAGAAUUUGAAAGUUGAAUUUACAAGGAGAAAUGGAUUUCAAGUUUGAAAGAAUCCAAUUUACAGGAGAAAUGUUGUCAUACGCGCGUGAGCUACACGUAGGGCUGCCUAUUAAGGAAACAUAUGUUCUUUUAUCAUGGAGUUUGAAACUGAUGGAAUGUAACAAAUUUCAUUCGUACCUCGUAAAAGUAUAGAUAGAGAGUAUAGAUAGAUUGUUUUUUAUGCAUCCUUGACUUAAAACAGAAUCAUUUACAAAUUGAUUGGAAAAAGGAGUACAAAAAUGAGAACGAUAACAAGGAUGAAAUAAUAUGAAAUGAAGAGAAGCACAGUACCAAAAAACGUACGAGUAAUGACAACAAACGGAAAAAAAAAAAAUAACAACAAAAUAGUGACAUAGUUAAAACACGGAUGUUUGGACCAACUUAAGUGUACAACAUAUUGAAAAAAUGCACAAAUAUCUGAUCUUGAGAUUACGAUGUAUACCAUACAUAGGUUGCUCUCAUUGUUAAAUGAGCUUUAAGAAUUAUAGUCCAACCUCAAUUGGGCAAAGUGCAUCAGUCUCAUUCUUAAAUGAGCUUCAAACCUAAAUUGGGCAAGGUACAAGCCUAACUCAUAUUGACCCGAAAAAACCUAAUUGACCCUAACAAAUCUUACCCUAACCCAUAGUGACUGGCCAAACAAGACCGGUAGAACAAGCCUAACCCUAACCCAAGCAAACAAGCAUGGCCAAACAGGCCUAACCCUAGCCAUAUUGAUCGAUCGAACAAGCCUUACCCUGACCUAUAUUGACUGGUCGAACAAGCCUACAUUGAUCGGCCAAACAUGCCUAACCUAGCCCAUAUUGACCAACUAACAAGCCUAACACUAACCUAUAUUGAUUGACCGAACAAGCCUACAUAUUGACCGGCAAGUCUAACCCUGACCGAUAUUAACCGACCAAACAAGCCUAAUAUGUGCCUACGUAUUGAUCGGGCCCAACCCUAACCCAUAUUAACCGGCAAACAAGGCCAACCCUAACCCAUAUUAGCCGACUAACCCUAACCCAUAUUAACCGGCCGAACAAGCCUACAUUGACCGGCCGAAAAGCCUAACCCUAACCAUGGCCGAACAAAGCCUGACCUAUAUUGAUAGCUCAUGUGAUGAAUAGUUUUAACUUUGUCAAUGAUGGAUCAAAAAAGAAGAUGCCUCACUGGUCUCAUUCUCUGAUGGACUUCAAAAAUAGUAGUCCAACCUUGAAUUGGGCUAGCUAAGCUAAACUAGGCCGACCUAACCCAUACUAACAGUUCAUGCAUAGUUUUAACUUUCUAAUUGGUGGAUCAAACCAGAAAAACAUAAUAAUCAUAAGAACACAUGGACUAAGAAAAAAAAAGAUGUAGAACAUAACACUUCAUCCACAUAGCAUAUACUAUAGCACUUAGUUGCAAUAUAUACACAAUUGUGCCCAACCAUCUAACCAGGAUCAAGAACCAAACAUCCACAACUACAAAAACAAACUUCAUAAUGAUUUAUUUAACAUUUAACAAACACAAGUUCCCACAUCCUAUGCCCCAAAAAGUACUACAAAAUCCCAUAACAAAGUCUUGAUUAGAGAAAAGGCAAAAUGUCCAUGUACAGCCCUUCUCUGGUCUUCCUUCACUUUCUUCCCAUAAUGUUGGUUAUCCCUCGGGCUGCUCAACUGCUUCAUACUCCACGUCUUGCUCCUCGUAUUUCACCGCCACCAAGAACCUUAUGCUUACCUAUGAGAUAAAACGAAAGAUCAUAUAUAUUUAACUUUCAAACUUCAAUUUAGACCAUCUUCUCUUCUUAUUAUAUAAGUACCUGUUGUGGAUCAUAUACAGCAUAUUCAUUGUACUCGAGAGGGCUUUCCUUGUGCUCUGAUGGAAUCAACUUGCCACAAGGGACUUUAAUGUCGUCCUUCCACACAAAAUGCUCUGACUCGUCUGUUUUCUUCUUGCCAAGCCCUUUAGCUCCAAUCCCCUUCUCCUCCAGAGAUAUAGUGUCCUGCAUUUGGUGCAAAAUUUGAUGUUAGCUCUAUACCCCACACCAACUUGCUCCAGUCCCGAGUUCGUCCAGAGUCUUAGAGGAGUAGAGUUAGCAAGUUUAGGCGUUCCAGCCCCGAGUCAAUCCAGAGUCCUAAGGAGUAGCUAGCAAGUUUAGGCAUCAGCCUAAUUCCGCAGGCCAACUUGCUCCAGCCCCGAGUCAAUCCGGAGUCUUAUAGAAAUAGCUAGCAAGUUUAGGGACCCAGCAUGUGAGCAAGUUACUUUGGCGCAUAUGAGUAGCUAUCACGAAUCACAAGUUCAAGCCAAAAGAGAGAUACGGAGAUGAGAAAAUUGUUGAGUAAGAACCUAAGACCAGACAAAAGAGAGACACGGACACAAGAAGAAGACUUGGCCAAGAGCCUAAGAAACGGGAUGAUAGGGACGGGCAGCCGACUAUCGGUAUACUAACUGCCUACUCUACUAGUUUGACACAAGAAAAGAGUUGGCCAAGAGCCUAAGACACUGGAUGAUAGGGGGGACAGCCAGCCUCGACUAUCGGCGUUCAAUACUAAGUAAGAUCCUCAUUGACAAGUAAGAGAAAAUCAAUUAGCAUCAUUUUCUAUUGUACCUCAGGUGGACUUGAGAACUCUUGGAUUUCUUCUCCUAGCGAGGCAACAGCCAAAACCAAGAAACCUUCUGGCCUAUCUACAGCUGUGAAUCCAUAUCUGGCUGCUUCUGCUGCAGCGUCCGAACAAACGAUAGCUCUUCCAAACUGCAAAAAACAAAAUAUAAACCCCAAAGAAGGUAUUCCCUACCCGAAAAGGAAAACAGACUACAGAAAAUAACAGACAUCAUUUCUACAAAAACAAAUGUUACAUGCCCGCACAUACCAUGUAUCCUGGUACAGGAAGUGAACAAGUUGAGGGCAAGAACCCCAUCUGCAAGUGCCUCAAUAGAUUUGAACUCCUAGUCCCUGUUAGCAAAGAGCAAGUAAUGUACGUAUUGUUAUUUUAAGGUCGUUAAUCCGUUCACUCGUCUCUAUAAUAAGACGAAAUCUUGAUCUAAGAGUUACUUACCACACCAUAGCAGAACCUUGUUGGGCAAUUUCCUGAUGUCAUCAAGAGAGGGGCAUGCACUUGCUUCAACAGCAAAGAUAUUCUCAACCGAUACACCAUAGCUCUGAAGAAAACAGAUAACCUCACUUCAGAUCAAAGCUUCACUUAUUUUGUCAUAAAUCGAUAUCCAAAAUGAACUUCAGACUUUAGGAGAUCGAGUGAAACGAAAUUAUCUUACGACAUCACCGAUUCUCACUGGAUCAUAAGUUUUGUCCAGGUACUUCACUAUCAUUUUGUAAUCAUCUUCCUCUUUCUCAAGGGGUGAAACAGAACAGUUUAGCUUCACAUAACGCUCAAAAAGAGGAUCAUCCAACGUUGAGCCUGACAUAUCUCCUAUAAGACGGGAGGCGGUAUUGAUAUCUCGAAUAGCCUCAUAAGAAGAAGCACCCUAAAUUUUCACAACACGAGAAACACAUCAAUAAAUUAUCAUCUGACAAGUCUAUAAGAGAGGAACUCAAACCCGCAAACGAAAAAUGAACUGUUCACUGAUAUGCAAUUUACUUGGUCCGCAAGUUCUUCAUAGUCUUUAAAGGGAAAGGGCCUUGUAGUCGGUAUGAGAGUGAACCAUCUCUGGGUGAAAUCAGCCCAAAAGGCGUCUGCUUUGUUCCCCGUCACCGUUGAAGAUUUCAGUUUCUCCACAAAUUCUUUGAGGGUUUCCUCACCUGUGUGGUUACAAAGUUACUUAAAAUGUUAAUAGCAAUCGCCAACGGAGAAUGCACAAAGACGAGAAAGACUAACAUCUUCUCAAAUGAAGAUCAGUAACCAUCCCGAUAGGAAUCUCAGGUGAGUCAUAUCCCAUCUCCACUAGAGCAUACCUUCAUUCAACAGAUAAGGUAAGAGUCGCGUACACAUGUAAACAAACAACAAAAGAGUAAUCUUAAAGGACAUUACCGGUAAAUCUCCUGGCUACAGAGGACUUUCAUUAAAUUUGCUACCUUCGGAUCAAGCUUACUAUGUGCAGCAGCAACCCCGAGUUGCCUAAGGCCUAGUCCACCAUACCUUACUUCAACGCCAUCAUCCUACAAUUCACCACAUCGUUAUCUUUAAACUGAAUUAUCGAAACACCAAAUAUACUUGAUUCCAGGAAGUUAAGAGAGCACAUACUAUAUCAAUAGGGAAGAACUUCAUAUUUUUCUUAUGAAUCUUCUUCUCUCUUUCCCAGAGUUCGAACUGACCUCCCGUCAGUUCUUCAAAGAGCUUUGCGAAUUCUCUAAUAGCAUCGUUCACAUUUUCCCAUUCCUCCAGCUUGUCAUCUGCUCUGGGGCUGUCACCAAUUUUUCCCUUUCUGUAAUAAAGGUACAAGCGGUUCUCUCGUGCCACAAUAAGUUGCAUAAUGCAGAAGCUACACCAUUUUAAACAUUUCUAUUAGUUACUACCUUGAAAUUAUAAAAGAAAAUAUUAGUUCUUGAUCCGUACUCGUUCAGGUUCCUCCCUUGAUCACAAACAGUGAGAGCACAAUUGUACAAUAUGCCAUCUUUCUCUAAUAUUUUUCCACCUUCAUUCUGCAGCUUACUGUCAAUAUGCACACCUCUCUUUCCAAACACUUUUAGCUACAACCAUGUCAAACCAAUUUUGGCAAAUGAGUACAGUUUCUAUCUAAAAAAUCGAAAAAGGAAACCAAUCACUAUUGAACUCAAAAGCUUGAAAUAGUACCUCAGCUGUUAAGGUUUCAAGUGCUACGACACUGGAAUCUUGCUGAUCUAGUGCAAGACCUUUCCCUUCUACCGCAAUAUCACUUGCAAUAUCGUAUGCAUCUAACGUUUCAGCUUGUUUUUCCUUGAUGCUAUCGGUCAGCCAAGCCUCCCUCACUACUGGGAUACCCCUCUCCCUGAGGAACGUACAGCACCUAGCUGUAAGAUAUUAUCGCCAAAACUAAUCGAAUUCAUGCAAAAAAAUCUUUACAUGUACAUACACUGCUUCAGCUACUUUAGACGAGCCACCACGAUCUCGCUCUGAGGGAGAAACCACAAGGCACGUUGCCCCUGCCAUAACGAAGCCAUUUUAGUUUUUAAGGUUACGAUUGAAGGCAUUGCAUCAAAUUAACAUAAGAUUUGGAUCAUUACCAAUAACAGAAUUAGCCACUUUCCCUCCAUUUUUCUCGAUCUUUUUCUUCCAAUAUUGCUAUAGAGAAGAAGUCUUCAUGUCAUACCAAAACAAUGAUCCAACGCACUUUAAUAACAUAAAUAUAUGGAAAUAAUGUAUAUACACAUACAUGGGUUCGAGAAAGACGGCCUGCAAGAGCAAUCAUCAUUCCUACAAAUGGUUUAUCUGCUACAGCUAUUUCCCGCCUGGGGCGACUUUUCGGGUCUCUAUGUUUCUCAAUCAGCUAUCAUAUUAACAUGAACAAACAAUCGAUUUAGAUCGUCGUACCCGUAUUAUACAGCUAGUUAUGAAUGUAAAGAAGUGUUUGGCACAUUACAUCGUAGACGGGAGUUUUUCCAAUAGAUUCAGGGAUAUUUGUAGGCUCUUCUCUUCUUGGUGGAGACCUAGUGCUGUAAACACAACUGGACCACUCACUAUAUGCUCCCUGGCAAUGAUAGCCGUCGCCAGAAAACUCUAACGUGCCACCACAAACUGGACAAUCGCCGACAGGACCAUAGAAUAGUAUGUCUUGGCUAACAAGCAUAGUUCAGUAAGUUCACUUCAUAUAACAUUCUCUAACAAGCAUAGUUCAGUAACAAAACAUAUCAUAAACUGAACUGUUGCAACACUUAAAAUCUUUUUAUAAGAACGUGUAAAUCGAAAUCCUAUUAAUAGGUAUCCAAAAAUAUAAAUUUGUAUCCAAUUCGAACUCGUCAUGAUUUGACGACGUGAAAAUCAUUUAUGUGACUAUAGAUAUCUCAAACAAAAUGAAAGUUCAAAGCUAAAUUGUUUCCGAGUAAGGAAGUCUGACUUCCUAGAACAAACUAAAAAGGAAAGCGUAUGACAUAAAUUUAGCUUACGACCAAACAUUUGUGUCUAUAUAGCAAGUAUCUCGACGGAUCAAAAUGAAAAAUUCAAAGUUGAAUAGUUUCUAAGUCAACUUUUUUAGAACAGAUCCUAAAAUUGAAAACACACUAGUUAGAGAAAGUAACAUCGUAAAACGAAGCUAAAACUAUGUUAAUAGUGUAAAAGAUUCAACCAAAAUUAUGGUAACUAGCCUACUAAGCGCAAAAUCUUACACACCAAGAGUGCGUAACUUAAACAAACAAACAAUAACAACAUACCUCGUGAAAUCCCCCAAUCCCACGGGUGAAGUCCGAGGUCGAAAGAGGAUAGAGUUAAACUAAACUACACAACAUAUGAAGUAAAAUCUCAUAGAUGGGAUUUGAAGUGGAUAGAGUGUACACAAACCUUAAAGUUGGCUAUUACGUCAUGAUAUAAUGUCUAUCAGUAGCAUUCUAUCUCUAUUCCCGCCUCCUGACUUAACGAACCUUACCCCUACCUCAUGGAGGUAGAGAGGCUGUUUCCAAAAGAUCUCUCAACUCAAACACUUAAAAACACUACAAAAGAAGCAUAACAAUUAAGAAAGAUAAAUGUGACAAACCAUCUAGGUACAACAGCCUCAUCAGCUAUUGAAGCAUCCCGGGCAUUGGCUUCGAGAAUUUCGCGCAUUUGUUUGAUGGAGAGAUGUUCUCUUGUCUCUCUACAAAACUUCUCAAAUUCAGCUGCCACAUCCGCAACACUCGAUCGCCCAUUAACCUUAUCAUUAUCCUCGCCUUCAUUGGCGAUUUUCGACUUCUUUGGCGCCGCCUCAGCCUUGUGCUUUCUUGUAGUAACUUUCUUCUCCUCAUCACUUGCAUGAGAGUGAGACCUUUUCUCAUGAACCUUCAAAAAAAAAAAUAACAAUACCAUAUUUAGUCCGUUUCAAUUUGUUUUUUUUAACCAAAAAACAAUAAUCAUAAUUAGUGUGUUUCAAUUUGUUUGUCUUAACAAAAACACUACAACCAUAUUUAGUCCGUUUCAAAUUGUUUGUCUUAACAAAAAAACAAUAACCAAAUUUAGUCCGUUUCAAUUUGUUUUUCUUAACGAAAAUCAAUAACCAUAUUUAGUCCGUUUUCAAUUUAUUUGACUUGACAAAAAAACAAUAACCAUAUUUAGUCCAUUUCAAUUUGUUUGUCUUAACAAAAACAAUAACCAUAACUAGUCUGUUUCAAUUUGUUUGUCUUGACAAAAAAAACAACAACCAUAUUUAGUCCAUUUCAAUUUGUUUGUCAUAACAAAAAACAAUAAUCAUAAUUAGUAUGUUUCAAUUUGUUUGUCUUAACAAAAAACAACCACCAUAUUUAAUUUGUUUCAAUUUGUUUGUCUUAACAGAAAACAAUAUUCAUAUUUUGUCUUGUCUCAAUUUAUUUGUCUUAACAAGAAACAAUAAUCAUAAUUAGUCUGUUUCAAUUUAUUUGUCUUAACAAAAAACAACCACCAUUACAUAUUUAAUCUGUUUCGAUUUGUCUGUCUUAACAAAAAACAAUAAUCAUAUUAGUUCGUUUCAAUUUAUUUGUCUUAUUGACUUUUUUUUUUUUAAAUGUGCCUGUUUCAACUAUCAUGUCACACCUUUUGCAGUAUGGCGGGUACUUAUCUUAUUAUCAAAAUUAGAUAUCUUGCAACAUUUAUCUAGGCUUUCAAAAGAAUUUAGUAGGAUCAUUUUGUUGGUGUAUAGAACUUAAACUCGAUCUUAAGCUUAUCUUUAGUGAAAGACUUCCUAUAUUACCUCAAGAUACAAAAAUUGAGGAACGUGUAUCACAUCUAGUCAAAUUAAGACACAUAAAAUGAAAUUAUAAGCACAUGUCAUCAUUUCUAAGAGAUUUCUUCCUAUAUUUGGUUGGUGGUAGUAGUGGUCAAUAAUAGUUACUCGCUCUGUUUUAAUUUGUUUGACUUAAAAUUAAACUUAUUUUUCCUGUCUUAUUGUCUUAUCAGUUAAAAGUCAUAAGUUGAAAACACAAACCAUUAACUUUUUGAGUUUUUGGUACUCUUACAGCCUUAAAAAAGUGUUUAAAAACACUUUCACAGUUAUUCAAAAGCUCUCAAAACUAAAAAUAGUUUAAAAGUAAAAAACACUAAAAAUAAGUCAAUCUUUUUUUGUCUUUUUCUUGGAUAAGACAAAAGUACUCCUAAACUAUAUGACCAAAAUCCAAAGAUACACCUUUAAUAAACUAAGAUCCUAGUAUUCGAAUUUAUUUUUUUGUAAUUUUGUACACCUUUGAUUUACGUGGCACUCUGUGGAAUGUUUGGACGCCACGUAAGCUAAAAAGAGAUACAAAUUACAAAAAAAAAAAAUUCGGGUAAUAGAAUAUUAACUUAGUUGAGGGGUGUGUCAGGAAUUUCGAUCAUAGUCUAGUACUUGUGCCUUAAUCAUUUUUUUAAGCAAUAAAAUUAAUUUCAAACUUUCCAAAUAGUAUAGUUAAGAACAAAAAUUAGAGAUAUUUAAUACAUUUAAAAUAUUUUUAGUUUUAAUUUGUCACAAGACUCAAAUAUCUUCCAAGUCAAAUCAAAAUAAGUCAAGAUAUAUAAAUUAAUUAAAACAAAGGGAGAAACUAUUUUCACUAAGUAAAAACUAGGCAUGCAUAUAAUACACAAAAAUUAUACAUUUUAGAGAUGUUUUGUUAACAUAUUGAAAAAUUAAAUUAAAUUAUAAAAGUUAUAAAGAACUAGAACAAACCUUCAUUUUCAAGAUUUUGUCACUUGUCUCUACUUUUGAAAAAUUCUUCAAAUUAUCAAAGAAACCAAACUUGCAAAAGACAUAAAGAAAACAAAAAAAUAUAAGAGAAUUUGCCUCUUUUUAUUUAUAUUUACAUACAGACACGUGACGUGUAAUUUAUUGUGGGUAUCGAAGUUUAUCUGUCUCACAAUGGAGCUAACAGGUGUACUAGUGCAACCUCCUUGCUUGACACAUGUCUUCACCUCCGCUCGUUCAAUUUAUUUGUCUGAUUUUAACUUUAUUCAAAAUAUUUAAGAAAGUCUAGAAGAUAAUUUUAUAGUCUUAAACUAAAGAUAUGUAAAGCAUACUAAAAUAUUAUUGUUCCAAUUAUGAUAUAUAUGUGAAAAGUUAGAACUAAAAAAAAACGUUUUUUUUUUAAACAAACUAAAAAGAUGUGAGAUAACUAAAUUAAAAUUAUAAAAAAAAAAAAGUUUAAAAUUUAAUUUAAUUUUUUUAUAAGAUACAUGUGAAGUUAUCAUCUCUUACCAAUAAUAUAUAUUUAAUUAUUUUGUCCGCCAAAAUUAAAAUAUAUAGAAAGAUUAUCUGAUAUUUUUAUUUUUGCUGGAACAAAAUAGUUUCUUACUUCUUUUAUUUUAAUUGUACUGACCUACAAAUUUGAAGAAAUAUUGCAAUUAUAGGUACUGUGGUCUACUUCAUUCCAUAUAAUUUUGUAUGAAAUUUGAAAUUCAUAAUUGAAAAUAAAUUAUAAAUAUUUAUAUGUAUAUAAAUUAUAUUCUGAAAAAAUUGAAUAAGAAUUAUGAUAAAAUAAUUAUUUUAUUUUAUUUUUAAAAUAUAAAUCUUGAAUAUGAAUUAUAGAGUUAGGUUAAUUAUGAUGGGAUCUCGAAUUUAAUGAGGUUCCAUCUUAAUAUAAAAAUCAAAUAUCGAAUUAAAAACUUCCAAAAUGAGAAAGCGGAGAAUUUUAAUGCUUAGUUUCUUUUUUCUAGAUACCAAAAUUAUCAUUACUAAGCUAAGGUAAUCUUAUAAAUAUAUACUCAGUUUUCACUUAUUUAAACUCUUAUGGGUUAACUUUUAUUUAUAACCAAUAUUAAUUACUUUCAACAACACUUACAAAUUAAUUUCAUUUAAAUUUAUUUUACACACAUUUACCUCUCAAAUCUCAAUAUAUACUAUAUUGCUAUCAAUUUUUUCAUUCUUAAUCAGAAUUGAAUUUUAUUUAAAGUUAAAAUAAAAAAUUUCUGACAUGAAUAAAAAUGAAUUGAGUCUUAAAAUAAAUAUCAAACAUAAGUAUUUUUUUAAAAAAUAAAUAAAGAAAAACAUGUUAUAUGAUUACGUAUAGAGAAUUUUGGCACUUGACAAUUUUUGAAGUCACUAUGUCAUACUCCAAGUUUUGAGGUAUUAUGUCAUUCAUGGUCUCUUCAUCGCUUGCCAAAAGUCCACAAUUUAAGUAUGUCACAUAUGGUUUGUUUUGAUUGAACAUGGUCUAGAGGAAAUUAAUGAUCGAAAUUUAAAAGAUUAAGAGAAAAAAAUAUAUAAAAAAAUCAAGAAAUUGUCUAAAUUUUUUUAUUUUUUUUUAACAAGUGAAUAGAUUGAGGAGCUUAGAUCUCUGAAGAAUCCGAUCGUCAUGAAGAACUCCUCUGCUCGUCAGUCUGAAACUUGUCAGUUUGUAAAAUUUUAUUUCUCUUCCGAUUUCUUGUGGACUUCUUUCUUUAAUAAUUUUUAUUUCCCUUUGUUAAAUUCUUCUUAUCUUUUGUUUACUUGCUUUCGGUCAUCCUCUUUCUUUUAGCCCUGUCACGAUACAAACAUCUGUACAAUUAUUUUUAGAAAAGAAAUAAAAUUAAACUUAAUAGAAAUUUGAAAUUACGGAGAUCACUCGAAUUAUACUUAGUAUAGUACUCAUUCUAUAUAAGAAGGUAGGGAGAAAGAAACAUGAUCUUUAAGUAUUCAUUUACACUUAAUGAGAUAAUUUACUAUCCUACAAAUAUAUAAAAAUAAUGUAGCUUAAAUAAUUUUAAAUUUAUUUAAUUGACACAAUUUAUAAAAUAAAUUCAUGAAUAAAUAUUACGUAUGUGCAAAACAUUUAUUUGGCCACUAGUACCUAUACAUGCAAAGAUAGUACUAAUAAUUUUGAAUUGUCGAUUACUUGCUUUUAGUAUAGUAUUUUUAAAAUAUGUGAAAUCUUUAACUUUAUAGGAUAAUAUUAUUAUUUAUAAGAGUUAGUCAUUUAUAAAUACUUCUAGUGAAUAAGAUUUGUAAUGCGUUACUUUGGAUGUUAUUGUAAAAAAAUUUAUUUAUUAAUAUGAAGUUUGAGUUGUUCAAUUUAAAGUUUUAAUUUUUUAUAAUAAAUAAACAAUAUUUUAUAUAAAUUUUGUACUAUUUUUUUUUUACAAUCUUCACUAUUAAUGUAAACAAAAUUAAAACCAUAAAAUUGCUUAAUUUUUUUAGGUUUAAAAUUUUGAACAGUUAAAGCAAAUGGUUUACUAAUUAACUCUUGAGUCACCCUUAUUGAUAUUAAGCAAUGUUUUACUCAAGAGGAGAUUCCAUGUCAAUUCAUCCCUCACUAAGACAAAUAAAAAUGGGUUCAGAGCUAAUCUCUGUACAAACCCAUCAUAGCUAGUAAUUGCUCUAAAUGUCCUCUCCGCUCGCACUGUUUGUAUCCGAGUCUUGGCUCUAUUUUACAUGUCCUUAAUCACCCUUGCUUAUGUCACAUGGACACCUCUAGCUUCCAAGCAUUUCCAAAAUACAUAGUUUGAGACGUUGUCGUAAGUAUUUUUUAGGCCGACGAACGUCAUGUGUAAGUCCUUCUUCCUCUUUCUGUAUCGCUUCUCCAAUGUCACGCCCCGAGCCUACACCCUGGACGUGGCCGGCACUCGAAGACCAUUGAUGGCCCCAAGCGAACCCUUGGCCUGGCUUUCUUAACUCAGCGGAAACCUAACUCAACAGAAUAACUCCAUGCAAUGCAAGGACAUAAAAUAACUUAACUGAUAAACCUGGCCUAAAAGGCAACUCGAGUCCCAAAAUAGAAUAUUUACAUAUAUACAUAGAUGAGAGACUCAAAACUAACUAACUGACUGACUGUCUAUGAAGCCUCUAUAACACUGAGAUGGAUGUUGGGACAGACCCCACAACAUCUUAAUAAAACAAAACUAGGGACACAAAAUCACAUAGUCCUCCGGAAGGCAAUGAGGCUCACCAUUGACUUUGGAGUGCUCAGCUGGAUCAACGGCGGGCAGGAUGCUAAUUCGGGGUACCUGUGUCUGCAUCGUCAUAAGAUGCAGGCCAACUGGCAUCAGUACAUUAAAUGUACGAGUAUGCGAGAUGGAAAGCUAAACAACAACUUAAGCUUGAAAGGAGUACAAGAGAACACUUACCUUGGCUCUGCUCGACUCAUGAAUAACCGAACUCAAUAUAAAGCAAUAAGACACAUGCGAUAUAUAUAUAAACUGUAAAACAAUGUAAACAACUUAGCUCAUUAAUGAUAAAACAAUAACAAACUUAACUUUACUUAUAUAAANNNNNNNNNNNNNNNNNNNNNNNNNNNNNNNNNNNNNNNNNNNNNNNNNNNNNNNNNNNNNNNNNNNNNNNNNNNNNNNNNNNNNNNNNNNNNNNNNNNNNNNNNNNNNNNNNNNNNNNNNNNNNNNNNNNNNNNNNNNNNNNNNNNNNNNNNNNNNNNNNNNNNNNNNNNNNNNNNNNNNNNNNNNNNNNNNNNNNNNNNNNNNNNNNNNNNNNNNNNNNNNNNNNNNNNNNNNNNNNNNNNNNNNNNNNNNNNNNNNNNNNNNNNNNNNNNNNNNNNNNNNNNNNNNNNNNNNNNNNNNNNNNNNNNNNNNNNNNNNNNNNNNNNNNNNNNNNNNNNNNNNNNNNNNNNNNNNNNNNNNNNNNNNNNNNNNNNNNNNNNNNNNNNNNNNNNNNNNNNNNNNNNNNNNNNNNNNNNNNNNNNNNNNNNNNNNNNNNNNNNNNNNNNNNNNNNNNNNNNNNNNNNNNNNNNNNNNNNNNNNNNNNNNNNNNNNNNNNNNNNNNNNNNNNNNNNNNNNNNNNNNNNNNNNNNNNNNNNNNNNNNNNNNNNNNNNNNNNNNNNNNNNNNNNNNNNNNNNNNNNNNNNNNNNNNNNNNNNNNNNNNNNNNNNNNNNNNNUCUGCUAGGCGCGCCGCCCCAAGGGCUGGGCUUCAGAGCCCCUUUUGGGGCGCGCUGGCUGGCGCGACGCCCCAACCUCUUUUUCCCGAAAACUCGACUUUUCUCCUUAGUUUCUCCAACUCUAAACCUUCUAAACUUCAAAGUUUUCAGCCCCAAACACUUAGAAUCAUAAAUCCCCAUACUAUACAAUAGAUUCAACUCGGAAUUUCAACCGGAAACAUGAACCAAGACAACAAGAAACUUCAACAACACAACCAACAACUUCAACAAACACAANNNNNNNNNNNNNNNNNNNNNNNNNNNNNNNNNNNNNNNNNNNNNNNNNACUCGAAAUCACAACCGGAAACAUGCCCCAAAAUCAACAAGAACUUUAACACAAUCACAACCAAUAACUUCAACAAACACAACCAACAACUUCAACAAACACAAUCAACAACUUCUCGAAAUUAAACAAGUUUGGCGUGUGGGGGAAAGAACCAACCCAACACUAUGAACUCACAUACCUAGUAGGAAUCACCCCCGACGAUAUCCACGACGAUCUUUGACGAAACCUUACUUGAUCUUCUCUUUCUCCCCUUCUUCUCCUCUUUACUCACAAACCCUCACUCUCACUCUUUUAAAAGGGAAAAACUGAUUUAAAAUAAGUCUAACACCUCAAUAUAACCAAAAGAAAAGUGGCUAGGGAAAAGACCAAAAUGCCCUUACAAAUUCGGGUUAACUGCCCUGCCAACAGCCCAACUUCCAAAGGGCAUAACUCACUCAUACGAACUCGGAAACGAGCAAACUCGGCGGCGUUGGAAAGAUCAUUCCAAGGGCUUUCCAAACAUAACUGGAACUACACCUAACUAAUCCUGAGAUAGGAGUUAUGACUGUUAAAAGUUGGCCAAAAACUCACUUUUUCCCAUACUUGACCAAAUUUCCAGAUUUUUAAAUUCUUUCCAAAAAUGACUAUUUCCGAUUUUAAGCCUCUUCAUAGUUAUUUCAAAUUGCCGGAUGUUACAUCCAAUCUCCUUACUAAUGAAGAAUGACAAAAGUCUCACAUUAAUGAUUAAUGUGAUGGGUGAAUUUUUUAUAAGGUUUGGACGGUUCUAUUUUCUUUGAGCUAACUUUUGUGACGUGAGUUAGACAUCAAGACUUAAUUUUACACUAAUAAGAUUAAUAACUUAUAUAGUUAUGAAAAGAGAAAAUACAUAGAAACCCCAUUAAACUAUGACUCUUUUUUGAAAAAGACACUUAAACUUUGUGGGGGUCCUAAUACACCCCUAAACUAGUUUAAAGUGAAAUUAUUGAACCCUUUUUUGGAAUUUAAUACAGGGAGUGUAUAACACUCACCUCUAGAGCGUGAAAACUAAAAAAAAAUAUGAUUGAACUUUUGUUUGCAAUAUUUUUGAUUAAAUAUAUAAAUAAUCUUUUAUUUUAGUGUUAAUUUUUUUUUCUUUCUUCUCCUUCCUACGCUUCACCAUUGUCCAUUGAAGGAGACAAUGGCUGCGAGGUUUUUUUUUCUUCUUUUUCUUUCUUUUUUCUUUCUCUUUCUCUUUUCGUUUUCCAUUCAAAUUGGAUUUUGAUAGAGAUUCAGUUGUAACUGAAUAACACAAUUUCAGUCCAUCAAUAAAAUGCCUUUUUAGUUCGGUCACCGGCAAAAAGUUUCAUUGACAACUAACUGAUUUCCUUUGCAAUAGCGACGAUGAAUGAUUUAUUGUUUCAUCCUCAGAUUUCUACUCCUCCUUCUUGGCCGGCGAGGGUGAGAAGCGCCGGAAAAAUGAUGCAACUUCGAAGAAAAAAUCGUAUUUCAAGUGACUUCUGAUCAUUAAUGGGGCUGAAAUCAUGUUCAAACCAAUUAAAAAUUAUCUCAUCUGACCCUGAAGAGAGAAUUUAUGUUUUUCCAAAUACAACCCAUGUUGAUUAGAGCAAAAAUCAAUGCUAAAAUCACAAAAAGAAAUUUUAAUUUGAAAAAAAUUAAUUUGAUAGCGGAUUUAAUUUCUCAAUUUCAAUUUUGAUUUGGUGAUAGACAAAAUGAAAAUGAUGUUGUGCAAACAAGAUUGUCAGCUAAGAAGACCAAAGGAUGAGGUUAAGCAAAAUUGAAGGAAAUGAAAAUAUCUAAUUAAAACUAAGAAAGAAAGAAAAAACAUAAAUAAAAACAAAGAAUAGAAAAUUAUAUAAAAUUAACACGUGGCAAGCAGUAAUUGGUGCGCGCAUUCACUUUCUUUCUUAUAAGUGGGAUUGACCCAAAAAUGGAAUAUUUAUAUCACUUUUAAAUUGUUCAAUGGGGUACUAGGACCCUUGUAAAGUUGGGUGUCUUUUUAAAAAAUGUGUUAUAGUUGAAUGGGGUAAUUAUGUAUUUUCUCUUAUGAAAAUUUCAAGUACCAAAAGCACAAUUUUUUUAUUUUAUUAAAAAUUCUUAUCCAAUCAAUCACCGACAAUAUAAAAUAUUUUAGAGGAUUAUUAAUCAGGAAUGGAGCCAAAUAGAGGCAAGGGUAUUCAUCAGCGGAAAUUUACACUAUUUAGAUAUUGAAUCCCAAUGGAGUUUUUCUUAUACUUUCCUCAUAUUUUUAAAUUCCUUAAUAAAAAAAAUUCGAACGUUGUCACUACCGAUAAUUGUCAAGGUAGCCAACAAUAAAGUUCAACAUCUCGAUGAAAAAAUCAUUCCUUAUUGAAAUAAGAAAUAACAAUAAAUCAAAAUAACUCAUAAAGGGUUGUAGCAGGAUGAAUAAGAUUCAUUCAUGCUUAGUUAAAUAUGAAACAAUUUAGGUAGAUGUCAUUUUCUACCUUAAUAAAUAUUGCACGACAUGAAUUUAAAUUAACGUACGUCCUAACAUAUGAAACAAUUUAGGUAGAUAUCACUUUCUAACUUAAUAGUACAUGAUAUGAAUUCAAAUUAACGUACGUCCUAACAUAUGAAACAAUUCAGGUACAACUUAUUUUCUAUCUUAACAAAUAUUACACAUGAAUUCAGAUUAACGUGGGUCAGUGGCGGAGCCAGGAUUUUCGCCAAGGGUGUUCAUACUUUAGGACAAGUAAAAAAAUAAACCUUGCUAGUCAGAUUAUAAAGAUUGGCUUCAAAAUAGUCAUACCUCAAUAUCAAAUUAACCAAAUAUCCAAAAUGAAAAUUCUUAAAACAGAAACUUACAAAAUAUCAAUGGAUAAACUAAGGAAGAUGAAGUAGGACAAAUAUAUUGACGGAUAGUUUCAUACACACCAAAAUAUGUAAAUUGUAAAGUGGUAACUACAAUUGCACUCGACGACACUUCAUCUCUUGAAAUGUUUUCAUAAUACACUCAUUAGAAACAUCUUUAAAUACUUUUUUCUCUACAUAAGGCACUAUGCAACCAUUUAAAUAGACCUUUUGUUUCCUUUUGUUUUUCUUAACUUAAAAAAGGUAACUUUUGUACUUUUUCUUAAGAGAAAAACGGAACAAAUAUUAAAUAAAUGAAAUGUUCAAGCCUGGGAUCGAACCCAGACUGAGUUUUGCCUUUUCUAAGAGAACAAACGGAAUAAUGAAAAAAUUUAAAGAAAAUGCCUACACUUGGGCUCGAACCCGGAACGCAGAGGCAUCUUUGCACAACCUUAACCACUGGGCUGUCAACCUUUAUUGUGUCAAGGUUGUUCAACAGUUAGUAUAUAUCCAAAAAACUUGAUAUUUAGUAUAUAUACCCUUAAAAUUUUUCCAACGAAGGUUGUUCAUCUAACCACCCUCGCCAUGUCAUAGCUCCGCCCCUGACGUGGGUCCUAACAUAGAUACCAAAACUCCCAUGUGAUAAAAAAAACCAAACAGAUGAGAAUAAUGCUAUCCUAAUUAGACAUAUUCUUAUACUAAAGUACUUUCCUACUUCAUAAUAUCUUCUACAAAAUACACAAUUCUCAACUAUUGCUAUGAAUCAAAGUGGUAAAAAGAUUACUGCUGCAACUGCUAGAGCUCACACCAGAAAAUCCAAGAACAACACCCCAUUUCACUUUUCUUCAAGUGGGUACCUUUUUUUCCUUUCAAGAUUUGAUCUUUUUUUACUAAUUUUGCCUUAAUUUUGUUCUGUUUUGUUGAAUUUUUGAGAUUUGGGGGUUGGGGUUUGUUUGCUGAUUUCAAUGUCCAGCUAGUGUUGUUGUGUUACAUCUUUUAAGCUGAUUCUUGUACUGUAUUUGGUUACAUAUUGUUCUGUUAUGUAGUACUGUAGUUGCUGAAAUGAGCAUAUGAUGAAUAAUUUGCUUAUAUAUGGUACUAAUUAUAAAGGGAAAAAGCUUAAAUAUGUCAUCGAACUUUGAGAAAAGGCUCAUCUAUGUCAUAUGUUAAAAGUUUGGUCCAUCCACGCCAUUUGAGUUAACAAAUAAUGGCAUGGAUGAGUCUUUUCUCAAACGAAAAUGGCAUAGAUUAGCCAAACUUUUAACGGAUGACAUAAAUGAGUCUUUUCUCAAAGUUCGAUGACAUAUUUGAGCUUUUUCCCAAUUAUAAAUGUUGUUAUCUUGAAUGUUAGUUUUAGAGUUAAAUGAUAAAAAACAAACCUAAGCUAUCACUUUUUCGCGAGUUUUAUACCUCCACUAUUUCUUGUAUUGUAUUGAUUAUAUAUAGUACUGUUCUGUAGUACUGUAGUUGCUAAAUUUUUGAUAUGGUGCUUUCACUGAAAUGAGCAUAUGAUGAACAAUUUGUUUAGAUAUGGGACUAAAUUAUAAAUGUUGUUAUCUUGAAUGUUAGUUUGAGUUAAUGGUCAAAAACACACCUAAGCUAUCACUUUUUCGCGACUUUCAUAUCUUAACUAUUUUUUGUUCCAUUUACCUACUUGAACUAUCAAUCCUUUUGUAUUAAAACAUACCUUGUUGUUGAGUUGGCGAAAUGUUUAAUCACGAUCCACAAUAGGUGUGUGUAGGUCAACUUAGUAUCGAGGUGUGUUUUAACGCAAAGGGAGUGAUAGUUUAGGUAGGUAAAUAGAACAAUAGAUACUUGAGGUAUGAAACUCGCGGAAAUGUGAUAGUUUAGGUGUUUUCUUAGCCAUUAACUCUGAAGUUAACCCAAUAAUAAAAAAGCUAAGGACUACAUGAGAUUCCUCAUUAGGAACACAAGCCACGUGUAGGUCAGAUAAGCAUCGAGGUGUAUUUUGAUUCAAUGGGAGUGAUAGUGUAGGUAGGUAAAUGGAAUAAUGGAUAGUUGAGGUAUGAAACUCGCGGAAAUGUGAUAAUUUAGGUGUGUUUUAACCACUUAUUCUUAAUUUUAUCCUAUUUCGCACGGUUUGAACCAGGCCCAUUCAUUGUUUCAUAUGAUUUUCACACCCAAAAGAGGGAAAAGGUUUUCUGGCUAGAAUUGUGAUUUUCAUCCCCUUCCUUCCUUGCUGUUUCGAUUCUAGGAGAACAGGUGGAAUCCAGUCAAGUUCGUCGACUUGAGCUUUCAAUUUGCUGCUCAACAAAGGUAAUACACUUUCCUUUUGCAUUUGUUUCAAGAUUGUGUUAUUUAUUUGAAUUCGACAUUAGAUUUUAUAGUUAGGUUGCAUUUAUGAAGGGUGGGCCAUCAUUCCCGAGUUUCAAAGGCUGUGGUUGGCCCAAAGGGUCGACUCUAGAUAGAUUUCUCGGUCAUUAAAAACAUAUACCAAUAGCAGUCUUGGAGCCAUUAGAUGUAGAUCUUUAUUGUGAUAACUAUGUUAUAGAUUGGUCCAUUCCAUUAGCAUUGGAUCCUUCAACUGUGCCUUUGUAAAUUCGGUUGCAGAGGUCAGAGUUAAGCGUGGAAUGGGACGUAUCUAAGGCACUAGACACAUACAGGGCACUAGCCCGAGCACACUUUAGAGCUGAGAAAUUUGUUGUGACUAAAGAUCCUAAUUUUGCUUUGUACGUACGUAGAGGUGUAGCCACAUAGAGUUAAGGUGGUCAGUUGAAUACCCUUCAUCCAAAAAUUAUACGGAGUAUGUAGAAAACUAUACGGUGUAUAUAGGUCAAAAGAUAUCCUUGAACACUCUGAGUGAAAUUAUUGGCUUCGCCACUGUUUGUACAGGGAUCUUACUUACAAGAACAGAUUGAAAUGAAGCCUAAUAACACUAAGCCUUUUCCUUUCACAUUGUGAGAUAGCUCUAGGAGUUACAAUCUCGAACUGUAAUAACCACUAGAGAUGAGACAUAAAUUCAGUACCCUGCUUCCGCAGCGGAAGUUCCGCUACUCUCUAGAAUGAUUUCCGUUCAGGGGAAGUGGGGAUUAAAAAGUAGGCCACUUUGAUCAGGGCCAAUCAGGUAUGGUAACUUCUGAAGGUUCUUUAAGCUGUGAAGAAUGUUAUAUAAGCAGAUUUAAUAGUUCAAGUUAAGGUUAAGAAGUAAAACAUAGUUGUGUAUGGAUGAGAAGAGUGAAGAUGCAUGGAUUUGUCAAACGCAGCCAAGCAGUGUCCAAUAAAAUGAAUGAUAUGCAAUCACAAGACAUAAACUGAUGACAAAUCCCUUUAGGGGUCGUUUGGUUAGUUAUGUUGACAUUAUUUCUUAUUCACCGUUUGAUUUGGUGUAUUAUGAGUAGUUCUUUCUUUAACCAUGCUUAUCCAAGUAUUAGUAUCCCUUGUAGAGGAGUUUUCCAAUGAGUUUCUGAUAAGCUCUUUGAUCAGUAGGAGGAUCUUAACACACUGGUUCCUUCAGCUUAUAUUUUAGAUGAUCAUCAUAUUGCUUCGAUAUCAGCUUUACAUUUGUGUCAAUAGGAGUUCCUGCAAGUUUGGAUGCUGAUAAUCCUACCUCAGAAAUAAGCUCUAAGGCAUAUUUUCUCUGAUGCAUUGUGAUUCCUACCUUUGAUCUGGCAAACUGGAAAAUCCUUGAGGCAUACACAUUUAGGUUUCAUCAUGUAGAUCUCCUUGUAAAAAUUCAUUGUGUACAUCCAUUUGAUGGAUGUGCCAAUGAUUUGAUACAGCUAAGGCUAAGAUAGUUCUUAUCGUCACCAUUUUCACCACUGGUGAAAAUGUUUCUGUAUAAUCUAUAUCCUCUUUUAGGUUGUAACCUUUGGCUACCAACCUUGCUUUAAACCUCUCAACUUCACCUGUUGACUUGUAUUUUAUUUUGUAUAUCCAUCUGCAUCCAAUUGGUUUUUUGUCAUCAGGUAAAUCUGUGA
rnacentral:lncRNA from 1 species